rnacentral:lncRNA from 1 species
ACCCGAGUCUUUCCUCCAUCGUACAUGUCCUUAAUAGCUCUGAUGUACGCCACCGGGACCCUUUUGGCCUCUAAGCAUCUCCACGGAACCUCCCUCGAAACUUUGUCAUAAGCCUUCUCUAAGUCGAUAAACACCAUAUGCAAAUCCUUCUUCCUUUCCCUAUACUGCUCCACCAAUCUCCUCACCAGGUGGAUUGCCUUUGUCGUCGAGCGACCAGGCAUAAACCAAACUGAUUCUCCAAAAUAGACACGAUCCUCCUCAAUCUCAGCUCAACUAACCUCUCCCAAAUCUUCAUAGUAUGACUCAACAGCUUGAUACCUCUAUAGUUAGUGCAAAUCUGGAUGUCUCCCUUAUUUUUAUAUAACGGAAUCAUCGUACUCUACCUCCAAACCUCCGACAUCCUUGCCGUCUUGAAAAUGCCGUUAAACAAAUCAGUCAACAACCUUAAACCAACCUUACCUAUAAAAUUCCAAAAAUCCACCGGAAUCUCAUCAGGCCCCGUUGCCCUUCCCUUUCACAUUCUACGAAUAGCUUCUCUAACUUCCUCCACCCUAAAACGCCUACAAUAACUGAAAUAAAGUCUCUCCUCCGAGUGUUCCGGCUCUCCUAACUCAAUGCCUCUAUCCCCCUCCUCGUUCAAAAGCCUAUGGAAAUACUCCUGUCAUCUCCUCUUAAUGUGGACAUCUUCCACCAAAACAGUACCAUCCUCCCCUUUAAUGCACUUCACUUGGUCGAAGUCCCGACCCUUCCUCUCCCUAGCCUUCCUUCCUUUCUAGCAACUUUGUAGGCCUCCCUAUUCACCCGUUUCUCCUCUGCAUCAUUACUCUCAAUCAACUUAACAUAAGCCCCCUUCUUAGUCUCCACCUUCUUCUUAACUUCUUCAUUCCACCACCAGUCCCCCUUAUGUCGACCUGCCCGACCCCUCGAAACACCUAAAACUUCUCUAGCAGCUUCUGUGAUGCAACUGGCAGCCCUAUCCCACAUAGUCUCCACGUCCCCCCUGCACCUCCACACCCCCAAACCUGCCACCUUCUCCUCAAUCUCUAACGCACUACCCGGUGUCAAGCCAGCUCACCUAAUUCUAGGCCGACCCUCUUCGUCCCUUCUCUUCUUGCCCUUCUUGAUAGUCAAGUCCAUCACCAGAAGUCUGUGUUGGGUCCAAAGAUGCUCACUCGAAAUGACUUUACAGUCCUUACAAAGAGCCCUAUCCUCCUUCCUAACCAACAGAAAGUCGAUCUGAGUCUUGGCUAUCGCUCUUCGAAAGGUAAUUAGGUGAUCCUCCUUCUUCGGAAAGCUCGAAUUCACCACCACCAACCCAAAGGCCCUAGCAAAAUCCAAUAAAGCAGCUCCCUCAUCAUCCCUAUCGCCGAAUCCAAAACCUCCAUGCACAUCGUCAUAACCUCCAGGCAAAAUCCCAAUGUGCCCAUUGAAGUCCCCUGCUAUGACAAUCUUCUCCGAACUAGGCACGCUUCUCACCACCUCAUCCAAAGCAACCCAAAACCUCGUUUUCUCCUCCUCAGCCAAGCCCACCUACGGUGCAUAAACACAACACACAUGCAGCGAAACCCCUCCAACGACCAGAGUAAUCGUCAUCAGCCUAUCACUAACCCUCUUAACCUCCACCACCUGCUCUCUAAGCUCCUCAUCCACUAAGAUCCCCACUCCAUUCCAACGCCUAUCGCACCAGAGUACCACAACUUAUACCCAUCCACAUCCCUAGCCUUAGUCCCAACCCAGCUCUAUGGACUUACCCUGAAGGGUUCCUAUAUUCCACAACCCUACCCGCAACCUAUCUACUCUCGCCUCUCGCCUACCUCUACCAUCCCUCACCACACCAGCCCUAACACUCGACCUAAAUCCCCCACCCACCCCUGCCCUCCCCUCCUCACCCCCGCCCAAAACCAGCCCCAACCCCAACCCCCUCGGACAUGACCCUAUACCACCAUCAACCCCUAUCUCCACCACUUAAAAACCAAAAACCAAUCUCUAAACCGAUAAACCACAAAACAGAAAUCAACAAAAGGCAGGUAGGAAACCAAAAAAAGCAGCAAGGAAGCAGGGAUCGCACACAAAUAAAACUAUCCAGCCUAGCAAAAGGACACAACUCUAAUCACAAGAAACAGCAGACUACGAAAAUCUCUCCCUAUGCAAUAUGGGCUGGCAAUUGACUAGCCACAAAGGAGUUCUUCAACUUCCAACAUUCUACAAUCAUUUUCCACCUCAAUUUUCAUCAAAUCUCAAAUUACUCGCAACAAAUUUUGUUUCAUCCAAUUUGAUUCUAAAUGCUGAUCUAAUUGUCUGAACUAGUUUAGUUUAUCAAACUCUACUUCAUAACAAACUUCUAAUCGACUCCCAACUACAGCAAUUCCAUCUCCCUCAAGAACGUAUCAUCAUUUAUAUCUGGAAAUUAAUAUAAGAGCAAUGCAAAACUGAAAACCCCUACAUAUUAUUUGAUAUUAGUUGCAUAUAAACAAAUUUUUCACUUUCGUGAUGCAAAUUGCAUGUAAACAGAGUAAUAAAUGAAUUAUGAAUAGAAAAAAAAGUAGGAAGCAAAUAAAUUACAUGAUUAAGCCUAGUUAUUCCAGUUAAUCCUUAAUUUUUUUAAAAAAAUAUCUCUAAAGAUUAGGGUAGACCGAAGAAGUACUGGGGUGAGGUGAUUAGGCGGGACAUGGAACAGUUACAGCUCACCGAGGACAUGACCCUAGAUAGGAAGGUCUGGAAGAUGCGAAUUACGGCAGAGGAUUAGGGCCAGUUCGAGUCGCUAGUGUAGUUCCGUGUUCCGUGUUCCAUGUUUGUUACGAAUCUUUGAGCUUUCCUCUGCUUUAUAUUCAUGCAUUCAUGCAUUCCUGCUUUACUCUGUUUUAUAUUCCUUAUGGGUGCCGUAUCUAUGUUAUGUCAUCUGCUUCUGUGCUGUACUAUGUGUUUGUGUGAUAUCUCGUGACUCGAGCCGGGGGUCUUUCGGAAACAGCCUUUCUACUUCAUCAGAGGUAGAGGUAUGGACUGCGUACAUCUUACCCCCCCAGACCCCACUAAGUGGGAAUACACUGGGUUUGUUGUUGUUGUUGUUGUAUCUCUAAAGAUUGACAUAUUUGUACAACACUAAAGUUCAUGAAUGCAGUACCAAAAUUAUGAGUAUAAAUUUCCAUUAUAAAUGUAAAAGUAACGUAAUAGCAUGCGGUAAAGUGUCAACUAGUCUUUUCUGACUUUUUUUGGAUAAAUACCUUCUAAACUUCAUAUUUUCCCAACUCUCUCUACUCGCGGAUAUAAGCGUCCGAUAAUGCUUAAGGUUUUGAGCCACAUGCUUACUAAUACAGAUUACCCUUGGCAAUUAGGGGCGGCUCAAUGGAAUUUUCGGCCUAGAGCUAAAUCAUUAUCUUUUUUUGAUAACCGUGGUGUCUGGGAGAGCUAAGUCAUUAUCUAAGAAGCCCCUAAACUUAUUAUCUCGUAAAACUCAUAUACUAAUGAGGCACAAAAGAACUUGUUUUUGAUUCAUGAAUCAAUCAAACGAGACAAAGAAAUAGCUAAUUCAGAAAAAUUAACUCGAAAUUACAAUUUCUAUAAACAAGAAAAAGAAAUGGAUGUACUAAUACAAAGGAUGAAUCAGAAUUGAAAAUAAAUAAAUGUAUUAAUUAAUGAGAGAGAAAUCUACCUUAAUUUAUGGACUUACUGCCCCAACCUCAACUAAAUUUAAAAAGAAAAAUAUAAACAAUUGAGCCUUUUUAUUAACAUUUGUCAUAUGAAUUACAUUUCACAUAUUAAUAAUAGUACAUAGCUUUUUGGGGCCUUUUUAACUUUUGGGGCAUAAGGCAGUAACUUCAUUUGCCUUUCCCUUGAGCCGCUCCUGGUGGCAAGGGUAGUAUAUGAGAAAUAACAUCCCAAACAAUUUAAAAGGACAUUGACAAGAUAAAACUUGCAUCUACAUUCUAAAGGUAAGAUUUACGCAUUCAACGAACCACAGAUACACAAGUACCAAUGCUCAUGCGCUCGGAGGGGUACUGAGAACUUAAAAAAGAAAGGAAUUAAUUGUCUUGAGAAAAAAAGGGAAAGAACGGGGUUGUCAGAACAAAUAAAUGAAUGUUUGUAUAUCAAAUAACCAAUCCAACUACUUGUAGAUUAAACAGAAUGUUAAGAAUAAGAAAGGCAAAUAAAAAUGCUCACCAUAGGAACCACUAUUCUGUCAACGCCUGCUCGUGUCAAAAAUGUAAAAGAGAGAAGACCAACGGUUUGCGUCAAUUUCCUGCUCACAGUAGCAAUAUAAAGAGAUUAAGGGAUUAAUGUUCAAAAGAGCAACUGCAGAGAGAAACUAAUCGGACCAACAAUGAUGCUGCUUUCAUUCACCAUUAGAAUGAAUAUAUGUAGUAUCUUCUUUAAACUGAACAUUCAUGAAAUAAAAAAGAAAACACUGAGUCCAUGUUCCAAAGGGGGAAUAGCCUAAGGUAGAGUGGCAUUCCCUAGAUCUUCAAACAAAAAAGAAGAAAGAGCGAUCCUUUCUGCUUUUUACAUACUACUAGUCCAAAGAAGAGAUUUAUUCAUCUCAAUGUUUUCUUUUUGGAGUAAUAUCUCUUCUGGGACUAGUGCAUCUAAAGUGAACAUUCACCUUGUUUAGUAAAAAAGGUCUCGCUCCUGUGGUGAGUUAUCCUAAAGUAAAAGAAACCUCACUUUGAUGGAGAAACUCUUGUCCACUUCUACUCCAUAAGUGCCAAAAAGAAAAAAACACGAAGAGGAAGAGAAAAUAAAAAGAUCAAGCAUAGGAAUGAAAAAUUAAAGAAACACUAAUCUUCAUCACUAUUCAAUAUGACAAAUUCUAAUUGAUGGAGGACGAAGAAAUCUAAAGCAGUAUGAAUCCUUAUAUCAUACUCACAAAAGUCAGCAUAAUGUAAACCUAAAGUGAGAAAACAAUACCUUUAAUUCCUAAAACUUAUGACCAACUCCAAUUUGGUCUCAAGUUAAUUUGGUGAAAGAGUUUGUCCCGGAACUCUUAAAUCUAAUUUACUUUUUUUUGCACAAAGAAAGUGACAAGGCUCAUAUUUCUUGAAGUGGAAAGCGAGAAGUGAAGUGCAUUUUUCGCUGAAGCACAUAAUUUACAAAAGGAAAAAGGGUCAAAAAUACCCCUCUACUAUGGGAAAAGGAUCAUUUAUACCCUCCAACAUACAUUGGGGGCAUAGUUACCCUUGACAUUGUAAAAUUGGUGCAAAAAUACCCCUCUGCCGUUAAGGCCCCUCCAACAUGGCAAACACCGGUCCAAGUGGCUUGAUAUUUUGCUGAUCUGUUGACUGUUCCCGAUUUCCCUAACUCUUCUUACGACUUGAAACAAGAUUUUAAGGUCGUCAAAUGUUCCCAAUUUCCCUAUUUCUGUUUUACGACUUAAAACAAGAUUUUAAGGUCGCCAAAUGUCAGAGCAACGAAAUCGACAGGGUUUCUAAGAUUAAAUUUGAAGAAUACACUAACACACUUGUUUGGGAAUUACAUGAGUAUGAGAGAGCUGAAGCGUACAUGAGCAUGAGAGAAGUGGUGGGAUGAAGGGGGCGUUAGUGGUGGAAGAAAAAGUAAGGAGGUGGUGGUAGGGAUGGAGAGGUGGCAUGCCGUUAGGCAUCCACCUCAGCGAAAUAUCAAGCCACUUGGACCGGUACUUGGCAUGUUGGAGGGCCUUAACAGCAGAGGGGUAUUUUUGAACCAAUUGUAUAACGUUAGGGGUUCUAAUAGCCCGAAAGUAUAACAAAGGGUAUAAAUGAUCCUUUUCUCAUAGUAGUGGGUUACUUUUGACCCUUUUCCGUUUACAAAAUAAGUAUAUGUGAAAUACAUGGAUAGACACUCUAUUUUGACACCAAAAUCCAUUUAGACACCUUAAAGUUACCCAUGACCAGAUGACCACCUCUUGGAAGAAGUACCACCAUGAACCCCUCAUGCUGAAAUAGCAAAUAUUGUAUUUUCCAGUCAACUUUGGGCGAAAAAAGACCCUUCGAAUUACAUUCUCUUUCGUGUGAACCCCACUUCUUCACUCACUAUCCUAACAAAAGCAAUACCACCACCACAUAUGCACCACAAUAAACAUAUACACGGAGGGAUGGAGAGAGAAUGGAGAAGAAGAGGAGGGAGUUGAUCUUAGAAGAAAAAGAGAAGGACGAGGAGGGAAGGGAGGAGUAGGGAAGAGGGCUAUCUUGAAAGAAAAAGACAAGGGGGACAAGGCAGUAGAGCGAGGGACGAGCAGUGGAUGGGAGAGGGGGCUAAUGUUGGAAGAAGAAGAGGGUGAACGGAGAACAGGGGUAGCCUUUUUCUAUUUCUUUUAAUUGCUAUUAAACAAAAAGAGCAGCCCAAUGUACUUAAGCUCCCGCUAUACGCAGGGUUCGGAAAAGAGCCAGACCAUAAAGGUCUAUUGUACACAAUUUACCCUCCAUUUAUGCAAGAAGCUAUUUCCCACGGCUUGAACUCGUGAACUUCUGGUCACAUGAAGCAACUUUACCAGUUUGAUUUUUAACAAGUAAUAAUAAAAGUUGCAAUUACUUAUUUUGUUACACAUGUCGUUCACUGAUUUGUUUGUUUGACACUUCAGUUGUGUCCGCACUUUAAACAUAUGGUAUAUCGGUUAUAGUGCUUUAAGACAUCCAAUUCCUCCCAGAAGAGAUGUCUAUCUGAUCAUUGACAAACCUAAGGCAUCUAACUAAAUUUUGGUGUCAACUUUAAGUGUCAAUCUGUGUAUGUUGCCAAAGGAACAUCAAAAAUAGUUGUCUGUUUUAUGUACUAUAAUAAUAAAAAGAUAACUACAAUUUUAAGGAAUAGAUCAACUUCUAGUUGAGAUCAUUUGUGCAUCAUUACGUAAUAACUCCUUGCUUCACAUUACUUCAUCACUUUAAGAGGUCGUUUGGUAGAGUGUAUAAGAAUAAUGCAGAAUAUAGUGUAUUAGUAAUGUUUGCAUUAGUAAUGCUUGUAUUAGUUAUGCUUGUAUUAUUUCUUAUACAUUGUUUGGUUUGAUGUAUAAGAAAUAAUAUAUCUUGCAUAAUUUCUAUAAAAGAAGUGUUUGUUUACAAAAACACCCUUCUUUAACUUUGUACACUUUUUUGGCAACAAAGUUCUUUUGUCAUCUCAAACAUAAUUAGUAUUGUUGAACUAGUAUAUAGAGAUUUAGGAUUAAUUGCAAGACCUUCGUCUUUGCACAUGAAAUAUUACACACAAAAAUAAAAUACAAGAUGUAAAAUUAAGGAAUAGUCUCAACAAUUUUUUUUUUAUUUUCUUAAAGACCCUCGAAGCAAAACAAAAAUAUGUGGCGGUUAUUUAAAUCAACUAUUCAUUGUUGUAAAUUAAAAUGGCGGGAAAAAAAAUUGUGAAAUAUUUUGAGAGGAAAAUUAAGAGGUAUUAAGAUCAUUUAAUAAGUUAAUGCAUGUGUUAAUAAAAGUCUUUGUAUUACUAAUACAUAGGAAAUGGAGUGUAUUACUAAUAUACACUUCAAUACACAAUAGAGUGUAUAACUAAUGAUUCCAUUAGUUAUACAUAGGCAAAAAGACGUACCAAAUAAGAUACUAGUAAUACACAUUAAUUAAUGCAUGCAUUAUAUUUUCUAAUACACUCUACCAAACGACCCCUAAGAGACAUCGGUUAAAUCAGUAACAGAUCAAACCAACUAACAAUCAAUUCCAAGCAACGUAUUACCCCCUAAAUUCAACGGCUUCAAGGUAUAUAGAUAGAUAGCAAGUUUCUUCCUUCACUUCAACAAGUCAGAAAUCAAGAUUAAUAUGUCAAACACAAAACCAUAAACCCCUAUUAUACAAAGUUGAAAUGUUGCGUAGAGAUACAUCAGCAUUACUCUCGAACUAACUGCAUAUCCUAAAGAAAGAGAGACACCCCAUUUUGACUGCUCGUUAGUGUAAAGUUCUCUCAGGUCAAAAGAAGGAAAAAAGUAAACAGCAAGUGAAAUUGGAAUUCACUGGUAUCAAACCUGUUCUUCAUACAGCGGCUGAAAACAACAACGUCGGCCCCAAGUCUCAUCGAACUUGUCUUAAAACCAUUUCCAUCUGAAAAGGAGGUGUAAUACUCAUAUUAAAGAAAAAGGAGAACAAGAAAGGAACAAUAAUCACUUAAUAUCCAUACACUGUCCAAUGGCUGAUUCGGACUUCUUAUCUGAAAAUCCAAAACUCAGACAGCAACGCAUGGCUUCUUGGUCCAUUCCACCACCAUUAUCUAGUAGAAUAUCAAAAACAGCCACAAUCUCGUCUUAACAGUUGUUCAACAAGAAGAACAACAAACUUCUAACAAGCAAAAAGGAAAAAAAGAAAGAUGUGGAAUACCUUGAAUAAAUAAAGCUGAAGUUCCAUCCUUAGGAUUUAACAUUUUAUCAAUAACGGCGAAGGUGGCCCCAUUUUGUAUCUGUUACAUUAAUGAAAUAUGGAAUUCAAAAAAUAAGAAAAUUAGAAUACCUUGAAUUAAUAAAGCUGAAGUUCUGUCCUUAGGAUUUAACAAUUCAUCUAUAAUGGCAAAGGUGGCCCCAUUUUGUAUCAGUUACAUUAAUGAAACAUGGGAUUCCAAAAAAUAAAAAAGUAAGCACAUUACCAAAUGCAUGAGAUGGGUAAGUUACAAUUUUUUCACGUAUUUGCUGACUAUAAGCCUUGACAUUGUCAGCUAUAUGUGAAAAGAUGAAAAAGAGAUCUCUUAUUGAAUUGAAAGGUGAACAUAUAAAAGACACUUUAUUUUUCGUUUCACGACCACUUAAUGGGUCUAAACAGAACAAAAUGAUUAAGACCGACAACAAACUCUUAGUAGGCGUUUGGCCAUGGAAACCAAAAAAUUUUGGAGUUGGAGUUGACGUUGGAGUUGGGAUUGGGGUUGGCCAUGAAUAUAAAUUGGAGUUGUUUUCGAAUUUUUGUGAGAGAAGCGAGAGUGAAAAAAGUGAAAACAAGUUUUUCUAAAUACAACUCCAAGUUGUAUUUGAUAUUCUUUUAUGACCAAACACCAUUUUUGGAAUAAAGUGAAAAAAGUUUCCGUAAAAGAAUAAAGAAGUUUUAUGGCAAAACGAGGCCUUAAUAUCAUUACUACAAAGAUGACAUUUCAUCGCUACUCCAUCCACUUUUACCCUAGCCACCGCCACUACCAUUUCAUCGCUACUCCAUCCACUUUUACCCUAGCCACCGCCUCUACCAUUGCAGCCGCAACAACUUCCUACCAUUCACAAUCACCACUGCCUUCAAUCACUACAAUCAGUCUUAACACCACUAGCCACCAUUUACAAUCAUCACCACCAACUAUUACCACAAAGAUCAUUCAUCAUUACAAACAACCAUCACGUUAAUUACAAUAAUAAAAUACCCAGUGUAAUUUCAUAGGUGUGAUUUGGAGAGAAUAUAGUGUAACCGGACCUUACCCCUACCUCAUAAAGGCUAAGAGGUUGUUUCCGGAAGGCCGUUGACUCAUGUAACGCAUAUCAAAGCAGUUUGAAAAAGAAAAUAAAGAACUAAAGAAGACAUAGCAAAUAAUAAGGAAAGCAUUACACAGCAUUCAGAAAAUAAGGAACAGUAACAAUAGACAAAAAAAUGUAAUAAUUGAAGCACAAGAAACAACAGAUAGUAACAUACAUAGGACAAGAAACUAUGAGAAUAAUGCUACUACUACUACCACUGGUAUGAAAGGAGAAACACGUACAAUUACCCCAAGCCUAUCCCACAAGAAAGCUAGACAACGCUCGACUACAAAUCAACCUUCUGUCCUAAUCCUCCAUAUUAUCUUAUCUAAGAUUAUGUCAAAGAUGUGUCACGUCCUGUCUAAUUACCUCUCUCAAAUCGCAUUUCGCACUGAGGCAUAUUGUAACACUCCGCAUUUUCAAACUAGAAAUAGAAAUGUUGCUCCUACGUGUGUAAGCUCUAAUAGAAUUAUUUCUAAGUAAGAAUAAGUGUCAUGAUCUAUAUCCUCGUGUUUGAAGUGCUUUCGAGGUGAAAAAUCUUCAUAGGGAUCACUUACAGAGAAGUUGAACGUUUGAUUCGGCUAAAUCUUUAUUUUCGAUGUUACAAGAGUCUACUUUGAACGUGUAUAACUUUAGAUACACGUAGAAUUUUGCAGCUCAAGACUCCCAAAUUGUAGAUAAUUGGGUCAGCUUUCCAAUGAUAUCAAUUUCGCCUUAAUCCGAUACCCGAGCGAAAAGUUAUAGCCAUUUUCGUGAGGGAGGCAGUGAGGUCGCGCGAUUAGCGUGCGACGCACGCUCCAGUCCACCCCCAGUUUACAGCUGUUGGUUCCGCGUUUUUAAGGGCUUUUCAGUCUUUUCUUACCUUAUAACUCCCAGCCCACGCCCGAUAAUCUUCAAGGGGCGAUAUUUUCCCCCUAUUUCAUCAAUUAAACAUUUCAAAUCCUCUUAAAAACAUAACCCUAGAUCCUCCCCAAAGAUCAAGAAUUCAAGCCUUUUAAUUCAAGAUUCUCAAGAAAGGUUUCCAGAUUAGGUUUCCAAUCUUCAAACUAAUCAAUAUAAGGUACAUGGGACUAUCCUAAACCCCAUGGGCAUUGAUUUUGGGUUUUCAAAUUAGUUUUAAAGAAUAUAUAUUUGCAUAUACGAAAUUAUUUCAAGAUCAUUGAUAAACUUGCUCCGAAAUUAUUACAUCUUGACGAAGUGUUGUGAAAAUUAUGGUAUGACACCCCUAAUCUUGAAUUGUUUUUCGUGUGACAUGAUGAUGAUUAAAUUGUGAACUUAAAUGAGAGCAUGGGAUAUGUGAUUCCCUCUUUUACUAUGAAAUUAUAGUGAAUUUACAUGUUGGGAACGGAUUACGCAAAAUUGUUAAAUGUUGAGCCUAUUAUGCAUAGAUUUCACUGUUUUCAUGAGAUAAUGGAAAAGUACUUUACUUGUUUUAUGAUGAUCAUGAUUUCAUUUUAAAAUGGCUUGAAAGUGAUUGAAAAAGGUGACCGUCGUAGAAUAAGUAUUGAAAAUGGUUGUUUUGUUUCAACUGAUUUGAAAUAUGAACAUUUGUUCAAAUAGUAGGAGCUUUUAGGUGGUCAAUAAACCUCUUCUGAAAUAAAAUAAGGGCAGUGGAUAUGUUGUGACAUGACUUGCAAGUCGGGGUAUGACGAUACCCUGUUUUUGAUGUGCCCGAAUGAUAUUAAGAAAGAAAGAAUGUUUCAAAGAAGAUAUGGUUUAAAGGAUCUAAAAUUGGGCUUAAGAGAGUUAGAUGGUUACCCGAAGAAGGCAUGAGUCAUAAGGUUCAUUGCCCAAAACCGUGAUUUGCCGACACGGGUUUAUGUUACCCGAAAAGGGAGAUUGUACUAUGGCGACGGCCCUGUGGCGUAGUAGAUAAGCAGAUACUCCAACCCUUGCGGCAAACUUGGGUUGGAGGCUUGGCCACCGAGUCAAGGGCGGAUUCCAUAUAGCCCGUGGAAUAGCAGAGUUGUAGGGUGUACCAUCUAGCUCAAAAGUAAGACAAAAAGUAGAGUUGUGAUUUGCAGAAUGUGUUUUGAAAGACUCAGAUUAUGCCCAUGUGUUUUCAAUUGUUUUUAAGAUAACAUGUGAUUUAUGAAAUGCUCUCACCUAUGUUUUAUAAGUAUUCACAUAUUUUGUUUUUGGAUUGUUCUGCAUACCAGUACAUCUAUAUUGACCCCUUAUAUUUCAGGAUCUGAGCCACAGUCCCGGAGUCCCGUUAAGCAGUAGAGUUGUCUGGUCAGAAGUUGCAGUUGGUGAGCCUACCUUUUUUCAUAAGGCCUAGUUAUGAGUUAUUUUAUUUUGAUUCAUGGUCCGACUUGGGGCCUUGUCCCAGUUUUAUUAUGAUAUGUUGGUUCUUAUAUUGUUUUCGCAGACUGGUGUUGAUACGGGUACGACCACGGAGGUGGGUGAGUGCGAGAGUGAAUGAACCCGAAACUUGGAGUGUACACGUGAAGUGCAAAGGAAAACCUACCUAGGCUCAGUCCAUACAAUGCACUCCAAGGGAGCCCACUUGAAGACUUUGACCAAGGGGUCAUUUUGGACAUUUCACACUAUUCUUGUAAUACACUAUAAAUACAACCUUCUGGGGAUUUAUUCAUUAGAUUUUGAUGAUGAUGAAUGUUGUAUAACAUUGAAAGACAAGUCCUCUCUCCUUGAGGCACAAAUUUGAAAUUGUAACUAGGGAAACCAACUUGAAUGUGGAAUCACUCGUGUUGGAUUCAAGCUUGGAAACGUUGGUCCUUGGGAGAUCGAGAUCCCUCUUGUGCCUACGUAAGAGAUAGGUUAGUGUUGUGUGUAGUAUUAAAGAUCCAAGGGUGUAACAAUUCUUGGGUUGUUAAUAUUAUUCCCUCAUUUGGUCUAUCUAUCUAUCUUUAUCUUAUUGCACUUUGUAGAUUCAUAGUGAACUGUUUUGUGUCCUUCUUGAAUCCGAAAUUUGUUCUCAUUGUGUUCAUCUUGUUAUCAUUGUGUUGUUGCUGUUGUUGGUGUCAAAUGCACCGUUGUUAUCUCGUAUUGUUGUUGUGGUAGUGAAUCCGAGAGUGGUCUCCAUCUUAGUCCUCAAAUCCUUAAGAUUAGUGGACUGUUUUGGAGUUGUUUCGUGUUUUUGUUGUUUUUCCCGUAUCAUUUGGUAUCAAAGCCAUCGUUGAUUUUGUUCUAACAAGAUCAAUCUUGGGCUUAAGACUUGAAAACUACAAAAAAAAAAAAAAAAAGUUGAAAACUGAAAAUUCCAGAAAAGAGAGCAAUCUGUCCAUUUUGUGUUCUUGGCCGAAAAUUGUGUUUUUGUCGAGUCUUGGCCUAGAUUUUUACUUGUCUUUGUUGUCUCUAAGUGUUAAUUUUUUUCAUCACUAACACAUUGAGUCUAUAUCUUGAGUUGAGCUUGAAUUGUUGAGAUUGUUGUUGUGACAAGUUAAUGGUCGUGUAUUGAUGUUGUUGUUCUUGGCCGUGUGGUGACCUUUCUUGUGGACUUGGCUAGACGUUGUUAGUGUUGUUAUUAUUCUUGAAAAGUUGUUGUAUUCUUAUUGUUCAUCACAAUCUUCACCCCUUGUUAAGACCAAAACACCACACCUAAGGACUUGGCCGUUUGUUGGAAGUUUGUAGUUGACCUUGUCGUUGUUCUUGGGAGAUUGUUGUUGAUUUUCUUGGUGAUUGUUGAAGUGUUCUUGAUGUUCUUCCAAACCUUCAUACCUUGUUAAAAUAAAGUGAAAGUUAGAUCCAAAAAGAUGAAGGAAAAAGUGUGAGAACUUUGUUAGUCUUGAAAGACUUAGCAUCACUCACCAACAAGUCAAUCACAUCUCAACCACUUUCCCAUAAAACAAGGAUCCAUAUUUUAAGGAGAAGUACAAAGUCUAGUCCAAGACUUUUGAGUCUUGAAAUUUUAAUUGAAAAAGAAGCUCUAAAGACUACUUUGUGUUUCCCUCCAUUGAACAAGUUCCACCAAAGUCCAAAUUGAAAAAUUGACCAAGACUUGAAAUUGGACAACAAAAGUUGUGUGCAACCGAGACCAAUACGUGGCUGCCACAUCAUCAUGUUUUACUGUUCACGCAACAUAUUUAAGCUCAAAUUUUAGAUUUCUUUGUUUUCGUUUGUUGUUUCUUAGUUUCAGUUUCAUUAGUUCCAAUACUAAUUGGCAAACUAGUACUUAUCUACUAGAUUGUUAGUUUUUGUGUUCGUUCAUUCGUGUUACGAAUUUGUUGUGUGCUUUUCUCUUUUGUGAAAUCGUAGUAUCUUGUUGGUUCAAGUCCGUAACAAAUUUUGCUUAAGUCAACUCAAACGAAAAUCUAUUCCGAGCAAGAGUAGACUCGACCCUCAAUCACACACGAAGUACAAGCCGGCUUUCAACACUUGUGAAACNNNNNNNNNNNNNNNNNNNNNNNNNNNNNNNNNNNNNNNNNNNNNNNNNNNNNNNNNNNNNNNNNNNNNNNNNNNNNNNNNNNNNNNNNNNNNNNNNNNNNNNNNNNNNNNNNNNNNNNNNNNNNNNNNNNNNNNNNNNNNNNNNNNNNNNNNNNNNNNNNNNNNNNNNNNNNNNNNNNNNNNNNNNNNNNNNNNNNNNNNNNNNNNNNNNNNNNNNNNNNNNNNNNNNNNNNNNNNNNNNNNNNNNNNNNNNNNNNNNNNNNNNNNNNNNNNNNNNNNNNNNNNNNNNNNNNNNNNNNNNNNNNNNNNNNNNNNNNNNNNNNNNNNNNNNNNNNNNNNNNNNNNNNNNNNNNNNNNNNNNNNNNNNNNNNNNNNNNNNNNNNNNNNNNNNNNNNNNNNNNNNNNNNNNNNNNNNNNNNNNNNNNNNNNNNNNNNNNNNNNNNNNNNNNNNNNNNNNNNNNNNNNNNNNNNNNNNNNNNNNNNNNNNNNNNNNNNNNNNNNNNNNNNNNNNNNNNNNNNNNNNNNNNNNNNNNNNNNNNNNNNNNNNNNNNNNNNNNNNNNNNNNNNNNNNNNNNNNNNNNNNNNNNNNNNNNNNNNNNNNNNNNNNNNNNNNNNNNNNNNNNNNNNNNNNNNNNNNNNNNNNNNNNNNNNNNNNNNNNNNNNNNNNNNNNNNNNNNNNNNNNNNNNNNNNNNNNNNNNNNNNNNNNNNNNNNNNNNNNNNNNNNNNNNNNNNNNNNNNNNNNNNNNNNNNNNNNNNNNNNNNNNNNNNNNNNNNNNNNNNNNNNNNNNNNNNNNNNNNNNNNNNNNNNNNNNNNNNNNNNNNNNNNNNNNNNNNNNNNNNNNNNNNNNNNNNNNNNNNNNNNNNNNNNNNNNNNNNNNNNNNNNNNNNNNNNNNNNNNUCUUUGAACAUCUUGUGUGGUAAAAGCCUUGCUAGUAGUUUUGUUCAUAGAGAUCAUGUGUAUGGAAAUGUUGUAAAUGAUGGCAUAUGUCUUUUUGAGGUAGGUCUUCUAGGCCGUGUCUCUCUAUUCUUGAAUGUUAGUCUUCUCUUAAAGGCAAAUGUCAUACGUGGUUGUGGGAGUGACAUUCUAAGGGAAGGAAGGGCUAACCUCGGCUUAGACCCUUGGCUACUUCUCCUAUUUGACCCCGACACCCUCCGGGAAUGUGGGAAUUUCUACACUUCCUACUUCAUGCUUGGUCAAGACGACAAGCAAUGUUUGAUUGUGGGUGUUAAUAAAGGCAGGCAAGGUUCUUCCUUGUCUCUUUUUGUUGAUGAUGACCUCUUCCUUUGUGUCAUUUAUACUAAGGUUUUCAUGUUCAACACAAAGGACCCGUGGGUAUACUCCAAGUUUGUCCCACCUCGGCAUGGCAUGUGAUGUGUUAUUUUUGCUAACCCUAACCCCUCAUGUCAUGAGGAUNNNNNNNNNNNNNNNNNNNNNNNNNNNNNNNNNNNNNNNNNNNNNNNNNNNNNNNNNNNNNNNNNNNNNNNNNNNNNNNNNNNNNNNNNNNNNNNNNNNNNNNNNNNNNNNNNNNNNNNNNNNNNNNNNNNNNNNNNNNNNNNNNNNNNNNNNNNNNNNNNNNNNNNNNNNNNNNNNNNNNNNNNNNNNNNNNNNNNNNNNNNNNNNNNNNNNNNNNNNNNNNNNNNNNNNNNNNNNNNNNNNNNNNNNNNNNNNNNNNNNNNNNNNNNNNNNNNNNNNNNNNNNNNNNNNNNNNNNNNNNNNNNNNNNNNNNNNNNNNNNNNNNNNNNNACACUAUAAAUACAACCUUCUAGGGAUUCAUUCAUUAGAUUUUGAUGAUGAUGAAUGUUGUAUAACAUUGAAAGACAAGUCCUCUCUCCUUGAGGCACAAAUCUGAAAUUGUAACUAAGGAAAUCAACUUGAGUAUGGAAUUACUCGUGUUGGGUUCAAGCUUGGAAACGUUGGUCCUUGGGAGAUCCCUCUUGUUCCUACGUAGGAGAUAGGUUAGUGUUGUGUGUAGUAUUAAAGGUCCAAGGGUGUAACAAUUCUUGGGUUAUUAAUAUUAUUCCCUCAUUUGGUCUAUCUAUCUAUCUUUUAUCUUAUUGUACUUUGUAGAUUCAUAGUGGACUGUUUUGUGUCCUUCUUGAAUCCGAAAUUUGUUCUCAUUGUGUUCAUCUUGUUAUCAUUGUGUUGCUGCUGUUUUUGGUGUCAAAUGCACCGUUGUUAUCUCGUAUUAUUGUUGUUGUAGUGAAUCCAAGAGUGGUCUCCAUCUUAGUCCUCAAAUCCUUAAGAUUAGUGGACUGUUUUGGAGAUGUUUCGUGUUGCCGUUGUUUUUCCCGUAUCAGGUGUCAUGUGUUUUAAAUGUUAAGAACUCCUUUUGAAAUUGUUCAAUUGAACUAAGAGAUUGACCAUAUUUCCGUAUGUUAAUAUUCCGCAUUUCUUUACAUUGUAUGAACGUUGUGUAUGAUUACCAGAUAGAAAAGGGCACUCAGGCCUUCAUGGUUCGAGAUGUCCGUCACGACCAGGGCCUCGGUUCGGGUCGUGAAACAUAUGCACAUCUCGCCUUCAUAUGUCUGAACUAUCUUAGUCUCGCUUCUCUCAUCUUGUUUAUCAUGGAGGCCACUACCACUUUGUCAUGAAUACUUCAUUCCGAAUCUUAUCUCUCUUAGUAUGCCCACAUAUCCACCUCAACAUCUUUACGUCCACCACUCUCAUAUUUUGAGCAUGAGGGUUCGUAACUGGCCAACACUCUUAUACAACAUAAUUAACCUAACUAUCACUCAGCAGCACUUACCGUUAAGUAUAUCUCACAGAUUGCGGGACUAAAAUGACAACCUUUGUUUUUUCUUUAUCUCAAAUAGCAACCCACUUCACCAAAAAGGACGGCUUAACCACAUACUAUACUCCACAAAAUUGGAAAGUUUAACCACAUACUAUACUCCACAAAAUUAAGUGUUUUUUAUACAUUAAUAUACUUCUUCUCUAGUAGAAUUCUCAAAUAUCAAUGCUAAGUAAUGGCCUUCAUUUCCCCUCUCUUAACACAAAAGAAUCCGCAUAUUGAAAUUUUACGUUGCUACACAUGUCAACUGUUUGAAUUCCCACAUGGUCGAGCUGAAUGAAUUAUAGUCUCCUCCUCAUAUGGUAUUGGGCAAUCCUCACUUCAUUAGCUAGUUUUGGGGAGGUUAAGUUAGACCUUGGAGAGUUGGACACAUACCUAUUGUUAGUUUGCCCAAUGUUUGGGUCAUAUAUUAUACCGUCUACGCUCCAAACAUCCCGACCUAGGCAUUUAAUGGGAAUGUUAGAAUGUCCCAUAUUGGUUGAGAGAAUAUACUCUUGUUUCCUUAUGUGGUAUUGGGCAACUCUCACACAUGAGCUAGCUUUGGGGGUACAGUUAGGCCCCAUAUCCUUUUUCUCUACAACAAUAAACUUUCAAUUCCGGAAAAAUAGAGUGACAUUAUAUUUAAACAUAGGUGUUUCCCCGUUUCACUUUUAGGGUUUUUGAAUAAAAAGAGUAGGUCAAAGACAACAGAAUUAGGACUUCUAAACAAAAGUAGGGUUCAGUAGAUAAGAGCAUGGAAACUUCAGAAGAAGAAAAGCAUCGACAUACGAAGUAUGUUGGCAACUUUACCCAUAGCAACAGAAAAUAGGAAUCGACUUUUAUGAUUUCCUGACCAAAAAGGAAACAAUACAGAAAAACUAAGAAACUUGAGCAAUAAUUUACCUCAUCAACAGCGUUGUCAAGCAGUUCAGCUAUGGCUACAAAAUAGAACACAAGGAAAGCAAGUGAAAGUUAGAAAUUCUGUUGCAUAGCUACUUGUGAUAUGUAUAAGCUCUUCAGGCAAUGUAGACUAAGACAUUGACAAGAAUACAUACCCCCAAAUGCCCAUUUAUGUGACGUAGCAUUUGAGUGAAGGAACUUUGGGUGAACACUCAGGAAACUAGUCCCAUCUACCAAAAGAGACCAAAAGUCAGAUAACAAAUAAUGGAGAUAUAAAAUGCAUACUUGACCAGGAAUCAGCUGGUGAGUUAAAAGACAUGAAGCAUCGCAACAUAUUUUAACUGGCAGGAAAAAGGAGGAAAAUAGGUGAAAGUAUCACUUCAAAUAAUUUAAAAGCAAUAGGCAAUCACUGCCUGACUCAUCAUUAAUUUUAUCUUUAAAGUCAUCAAAACAUCUUGAAAGAAGAAUACUUUUCGAGGAAGACUUGGAAAUAAGCCCGGAAUCGUAGUUUCCAGCUUUCCAAAACUGGCGGCAAAGAGGUGCUGGACAUAUUGGUGACAUAGAGUACAGGCUUGAGGCAUCAAUUGGAGAGUGUUCUUUAUCCAACAGAGUGGUUCCACAAUGUCCGGUACUUUUAACGUCUUGUCUUCGACUACUAGCUUGGUACUCUGGUUGCAUGUUAAUUCAGUUUUUUGGAACUCCUUCAGUUGCAUGACCUUUAAAACCAACUGCUAAAAUUUAAGAGCCUUCAGAUCCACCCCUGCAGGAUCGUCGCUGAACAAGUCAAGAAUGUUUUCGAAAUCACCUUAAGGAUUGAAGAGGAAUUAAAUAUAUGAAAAGAAUAUAUUCCACAAAUAAAGUCAGGAAUAAGGAUUCUAAAGCUAGAAGGUAACCUGGUAUAGGACUUCUAAAGAUUAGGAGAACAAAAAUUUCAGAGGUAGCCAGAGACAAAAUGCGCAUGGGGUUUCAAAAGAGCAUGUUGACUAAACUCUUCACACAUGCAUAUAAAAUUCUUACUCAGGGAAUCCUUUAAAUUAAAGCCCAACUAUACUAGACCAGGGAACUAGUAUCUGUAUUUCCACCUCCAUGCCUCUAAAACACCUAAACUUGUUUGAUUUUUAGCAGGGUGCAAAGAGACAAGAUGGAAGUCACAAUUUGCACAUUAAAAUUUCAUUCAGAGGGACAAGAUGAACUAAAAACUUUUUUGUCACUUAGUAAUGAGCAUUAUAUAGGGCCUACAGCAUGGAAAAAAAUACAAUAACCAGUUCAGCUAACCGAUUGCUGGAACCAGGAAUCCUAACAAAGGGAUUCAAGGAAAUGAAAAAAAUAGUAUAACUAGAAAGUUCUUCUAUGUUAAGGAGAUUCAGCAGUUAAAUAUACAAAAGAACACAUGUUUUUACACUACUAGCACACUGUAAUUUCAGGAUGAAGGGGAUACAAUAGAACCCGCUUCCUUCCUAACCUUUAGCUCCACCACUGCAGCCAGCCUUUCAAUUCAACAAGCAUUAAAACUUACUUCAUUGACUUUCUCAGAGUCCAUCCAAUAUUAGUUAAGCAACAACAACAACAUACGCAAUGUAGUCACACAAGUGGGGUCUGGAGAAGGUGGUGUAAACACAGCCUUACCUCUACCUUUAGAAGGUAGAGAGGCCAACAUUAGUCAAGUCAACUGGAAGCCAGCGAGGAAGUAUAUCUUUACCAGGAUGACUAGUCAUUCAAAAAUCCAAACAGCAAAUUACGCCAACAACAUUGUGAUGAAAUCUUUAUGAUUAUCUUCUAUUUUUAUGACGUUUUUCUUUAUCUUACUGAAGAAACAAUCUAUUACAACAACAUACCCAGUGUAUUCCCACAUAGUGGGGUCUGGGGAGGGUAAGAUAUACACAGUCCAUACCACUACACUUACCUCUGAAGAAACAAUCUAUUAGUUCAGAGAUAAUCUUAUCUUAUCUUACCAUUUAGCCUUGGGGGACAGGGUUACCUAAAAACUGUUGCUGGUGGGAGGUGGCAGAUGUCCGUGGAAUUAGUCGAGGUGCACGCAAACUGGGCCGUACACCAUGGCUAUCCAAAAAACAAAAAAAUACCCUUAAUCUUACCCCUCCAUUUUAUUUUAUAUGACAGUGUUUGACUAGCACGAAGAUUAAUAAAAAAGAAAUUCCGACACAUAUCAAAAGUACAAUUAGAGCGACCAAAGGUGUGGCCUAGUGGUUCAAUGAAGUUGGGUUGACUACUGUGAGGUCUCUGAUUCAAUUGUUUUCCCAACAGAGACAAACAUCAGAUGAUUUCUUCCCAUCUAUCUUUAGCCUUGGUACCUCUUGUUGCUGGGAGGUGGCACGUAUCCCGUGGAAUUAGUCGAGGUGCGAGCAAGCUGACACCAUGGUUAUUUCAAACCAAAAAAAAAGUACCAUUAGAACUCUGUGGUCUUAAUUUACAUUUCUAUAGCUAAAAGAUCAUAUGAUUAAGGGUGUGUUUGGUAUGAUACAACUGUGAGAAAUAUAAGAGAAAAAUAUUAUUGAAUUGUUGUAACUACAUUAUUACAUUGAGGCCCUAUCUAUAGACAAUACAUUCCAAUACUUUUCCUAAUAGGACACUACAUUACAAUCCUUUUUCAAGUAGGAUUUUGUAUGUUAUUCCUAUUCCUACUCAUAUUCUAACACUCCCCCUCAAACCGGUGCAUAGAAGACAUAUGUACCAAGCUUGUUAUGGAUGUAACUAAUAUGAGAAUCGGUGAGGGACUUGGUGAAGAUAUCUACAAGAAAACUGAUAAGGACUGCUUUGGACGUCUGGGAGACCUCAAUUGAAACGGAACAAACUGAAAAAAUGAUCCAAAAAGUAGUAAAUAUUGUCGUAAAGUCGAUGUGUCGCUGGAAAAUUGCCGAAAACUGGUAUAAAAUAUACGGCUCAUCUUGAAAAUCAAGAGACGAGUAGAUCUUGAACAUGGAUGUCACCGGAAACUUAGCCGAAACAUGCUCACACGCCGGAUUAUUAGAUUUGAUGGUUGAAAAGUGACUACAAUCUGAGGAAAAAAAAAGUAUAUGGGUAGGGUCGGAAUGAUGACACGACCCUACUGAAAAAGAGAAAUAUGUGUAGGGUCGGAAUGAUGGCACGACCCUAUUGAGAAAUAGAAAUUAUGAGUAGGGUCGGAAUGACGGCACGAUCCUACUGAAAAAGAGAAAUUAUAUAGGUAGGGUCGGAAUGAUGGCACGACCCUACUGAAAAAGAUCUCAGGAGUCACCGGAAAGACGUACGGAACUAUGUAAAUUAAAUCUGAGGAGUCACCAGAAAGAUGCAUAGUGCUAUGCAACUCAGAUAUGAGACAGUAGUCCGAAAAAAUGCACGGUGCUACACAAAUCAGAUAUGAGAAAAUAGUCACCAAAAAGAAGUACGGUGCUAAGAAAAAUAGAUAUGAAAAAGUAGUCACCGGACAGAUGCAUGGUGCUACACAAAGAUAUGAGAAAAUAGUCACUAGAAAGAUACACAGUGAGUCAGUGAACCAACUUUUACUAACAUAAUAAUUGGCCAGACGGGCGGCAUAUAUGGAUUAUGCCGCCCGCAGGCAGCGGAAACUCUUUGAUUCUUUACCAAGAUCGUGGAAGCUUUGAUACCAUGUGAGAAAUAUAAGAGAAAAAUAUUAUUGAAUUGUUAUAACUACAUUAUUACAUGGCCCUAUUUAUAGACAAUACAUUCCAAUCCUUUUCCUAACAUGACACUACAUUACAAUCCUUUUCCAAGUAGGAUUUUAUAUGUUAUUCCUAUUCCUACUCAUUUUCUAACAACUACAAAACAUUUUUUGGGAAAAGAAGUGGGUUUCUUUGUUGUUUCUAGUGUUCCGUAAGUAAGAAAAAAAAUAUAUGACCCCAAGAACAUUUAUAUGUAACCUAGCAAAACACUAUGGGAUAAGAUGGGCGGAGUUGAUGAUUUGGGUCGACGGGGGUUGGAAUGGGUAAAGAGUGGAAGUUAGAGGCAUUGGGUGAUACGAAAGAGUCAAUGAACUGGAAAGGUCACUUAUGGAACUUGUUUUUCAUUAAGGAAGCCAUGUUCUUCUUUUUUAAGAAACUUAUUUUCCUAGAGAAAAUAGUUUGACCAACCAUACAUGAAAAAAUUGAAAAACAUACCAAACACAAUCUAAGAGUAAAACAAAAGUUUAAAGUUAAUGACUUUUCAAAUAUAAAAAGGAGUCAUUUUUAUAACAUAGACUAUCAAGGAAAGAGUAUAAUUUAACCUAUGUUGCUCAGACUUGUCAAAAAUGUCAAUAGGUGCGUGUCGGAUUCACCAAAAGUAAGUGUAUUUUUGAAGAAUCCGACACGAGUGCGGCAUCAAAAGUGAAGAGUCCGCGCAACUUAGUAUUUAACAUCAAUGCGAAGAAGUUUCUGCCCUUUUUUUUUUGGGGGGGGGGGGGGGGGGGGGGAGGAGGAUAUUUCAAGAUAAGAGUUCGAGUAGUUCUAAGUAUUCAAACUUGUUCGGAACUCAUCCUAUUAUACAGAAGACACACGUAUAUUUUGUUCGCAAAGUACUUGAGUAACAAUUUAUAAGGGGGGAGGGGGCAUUUCAAGAUAGAGUUCGAGUAGUUCUAAGUAUUCAAACUUGUUCAGAACUCAUCCUAUUAUACAUAAGACACGUAUACUUUGUUCGCAGAGUACUUGAAUAACAAUUUAUGUAACAAUAAUCCAAUUUGAUUUAUCCCCUUUUUAAUUCCCAUUGCGAUAGAGAAAGUGGUUCAAAAUCCAAAUCCCUAUUAGACCUAACCAAUUUUUUCACUCCCUCAGGGUCGUUUGGUAGGAUGCAUUAGAGAAUCUCAUCCAUGUAUUAGUCAUGGUUUCGUUUAAUAAUUUGUAUGGUAGAAUUUUCAACCUAUGUAUAACUAAUACAUGUAUUAGCUACACACCCUAUUCAAUAUUACAAGGUGUAUUAACUAAUACAUAGCCAACCAUGGUAUAAGCAUGGGUAAAGACAGAACUUCCCUUAAUAUAACAAACUAGACAGUGGAUAGGAAAUAAUCUCAGCAUUACUCAACAUUACUAACCCCAACAUUACUAAUACUAACAUUAGUAAUACAUCAUAUUUAGUAUUAUUCUUAUAUAUUCUACCAAAACAACCCAUAUUCUUAUACACUCUACCAAACGACCCCUUAAUGACUUGAACUUUCAACCUCUUCGAUGGACAAAAAGCUCUCAAAGGAACCUUCUUUUGGUUGGGGGUAGAACAAAAAAAGCAAACUUCCCUUAUUCUUCUCUCUCUUUCUUCAUUUUAUAUUUGUUCUUCUCCCUUUUCUUCAUCUUAUUUUCUAAUUCAUCGAUAUCACCACAUAAGUACAUGCAUGCACGCGCGCGCGCAUACAUACAAAAGAAAAACCCAAAUGUUAGCAACUAUAGACCUUCAAAGCCAGAGGCGGACCUACGUAUAGAGUAGGGGGUGCACGUGCACCCGCUAGCCUCGAGAAAAACUCUGUAUAUAUACCAGUGAAUUUCACUAAAUAUAUGUUGUGCACCCUCAAAGACAACUGAUUGUGUUGGUGCAGUGGUUGAACUUGUAACAUAAAAUUCCUUUUUGGGUAGAGGACUUGGGUUCGAAACCCACCCAACUACAAUUGUUUUAUUGCUCCUUUUUCCAAGUACAAUUUGCUGCAGCAUUAUUGCUGCUCUCUCCACCCAGACAACAUUGACACACACAUUAUUUAUGUAUUUUUAAUUAUAUUCCAAAAAUACAAGCUCUCCUCCAAUUUCAAAAGGUAAAUUCCCCCUAUCUUAUACUAUAUAAUGUUUAUUUUACUUUUAUUUUUUAAUCAUUGACUUAUUUUCUAUUUAAAAAUUAGCAAUUUAAAGUUUGAAAUAGGCUUAAAUGCAACGUUUUCUCGUAGCAACCAUUUAGCAAACAAAUCUCUCAGAUUUUCUAUUUUUCAAAAACUCUCUAUUAUUGUUGAAAAUAUAAAAGUUCAUCGAAUACAAGUAGGGUGAAUAAUACUCUUUUGUCAUAUUAAACCAAAUUAAUGAUAUUUAAUAAUAUUAAGUUUUCAAAGAACUAUAUGUCGAACUUUGGCACUAUCAAUUAUUAUGUUUAACUAUAAAGGUGCACUCGUCAAGCUCAAAUCCUAGGUUCGCCUCUGUUCAAAGCCUACACUUCUUCUCCCUCACUUCCCUUCACAUACCCAUGAGGCCUCUCACUAAGCUCACAUAGCAACCUACUUUUUCCUUGACAAGUGUUAUGCUAUAAGUCAACUUAUGUGCACCUCGAUUGUCACAUUAAAUAUUUGUUAUCUUUCACCAAUGUAAGUACAAACUUACUCUACUUAUCAAGUAUGCAUACUUUUUUCCUUGACAAGGGUUAUGCUAUAAUUGAACUUAGGACAAGUUCAAGAGUACAACAAUCUAAAAUAGAAUCAACAACAAUAAUAAACCCAGUAUAUUUCCACAAUGGGGAAAAUCUAAAAUAGAACCAACAACAACAACACUAACACCAACACCAACAAAUCCAAUAUAUUUAGUAUAUUCUCACAAAGUGAAGACUGAAAAAAUAUACGUUGUACAUACCACUACCUCAAAAAUGAGAUAGAGAGAAAUGUUGUUUCCGAUAAAAUCUAAAAUGGAACCAAACAUUAAAAGAUUAAUGUCCAGUGCAUACCUUCCUAGUUACCCAGUAUAUGCCCAAUCACACCAAAAUUUGAGAAGAUUGGGCUAAAUUUAAGCCCUAAUCUAACAUUUUAUGGAAUUGGAAAAGGUAAUUUGAGAAAUUAAAGCCAAAAACAAUGGGGGAAAAGAAAAAAUGGUGAGAAUUCCAAAGCAAGUGUGCUUUUAGAGGAGGUGUAGUAGCUUAAUAGAGAAGCUACUCUAAGGUGAAUGUACAUUUAUACCCGCACUUCUAAUAAGAGCUAGUAACUGAUAUCAGCACCAAAACUGUCUUUUCAGGUAACAACCUCAAAGUACACGUGGCAGCCGGGUGCCGCCAAGCAGAAUCGCGAUGGACUGGCGAUGAGCGUCUAUACUGUACAGUUCACGGUAAUGGUGAGUGUGGCGCGUAGCAGUGGAUUAAUCAUUUCCUUUACUAGUUGUUUUGACCAUAAAAUUUGAGGCUCAAAAUUGAAGCUUUGAUCCAAAAUUAAAGCUUGCUUUAUGAAAGGUAAAUAAAACUUUGACUUGUGUUUCAUACUUAAUCAAAUAGGCUGUUUUUUAAUUUUUGCAUUUCAAACAGAUUGAAGUUUAAUUUUUAUAUUUGAAAUGAAAAAGAUAUCGUAUUUUAAGGACUUGAAAAGUAAUUCAUGAGGUAUUUAUUGUGAAAUAUAAAUUUAUGUCUUGACAAAAAAAAAUUAAUUUAUCGUUGAAAUAAAAUUUAAAGACCAUCACAAGAUAAAAACAAACCACAAAUAACCCUUUCAAAUUUCAAAAGAAAAAGGUAAAGUUUUUUAAAAAUUUGAACUUUGACUUUUAAGUUUCUAUUUUGUCAAAAAAGUACUCUAAUUACUUAACCUAUUUAAAAAAACUCUUAUCAUUUAUUACAAAAGUAAUUACUUAACCUAUUUACUUUAUUGAAUAGCUUGAAAGCCUAUAUUUUAAGGACCUGUUUGAUCAUGGAAAAUAUUCAUUUUUUAAAAAAAAUUAUUUAUUUUAUUUUAAAAAAAUUUAGUCAUAAAAAUUUCAAAUACAAUUUUUAAAAAAUGAAAAUAACCUUAACUUGUUUUCACUUUCUUUUCAUCUCGUUGCUUCACUGUUUGUUUUUUAAUUUUUUUUCAAAAAGAUAUGAUCAAAUAAAACUCUAAUUCUAACUCCAAUUUUUUUUGAUUUCGUGUACAAACGCAUGCUAAAUACAUAAUUUAUUAUAACAUUAACACACAUGUGAUUUAUUGCCACGGCUUAUGCAACGUUACCUAGUUAUUUAUGAAGAAUAUUAAAUAAGUGAAAAUAUUUAUGAGCUAUGCACAUUGUUAAUGACAUUUAUUAACAAUAGACUUAAAGUAACAAUAUUGUUUAUGUGACCAGAAAAUACAUAUUUGACGUUAAUAGAUUAUUUAUAUCAUGUGGUGAUUUAUAUUAAAGUCAUUCCAAAAAAAUCAGAAGAAGAAAAAAAUUAUAAUGGGGAGAAUUACUGAUUUUUUAGGAUCAUCCUUCGUGGUUCGAUCACCCAUUUCUUAUCAUGUAUUUGAUUUGAUAAAAAAUAGAAAGCAAAUUUGAAAAAUGUAUAAAAGUUGAUUCAGUUAAUGCUCAGAUACCAUGAUAAAAAAUAAAAGAAAAAUAUGAAAAUCUUUUAUUUGUUAUAAAAUAAAAUGACGGAAUAAAAAACUGAGAAACAAAUAGUAGGGACUUUUAUUAUAUUUUGAUCUGUGUACAAAUAAAAAUAAAGGCAUACCGUUAUAGACAAUUUUGUCAACAUUUCAACCAAUGAGAAUAGUUGGUUUAUGCAUGAAAAGUCUUCAUUUGAAAAUAAAGGCAAUAUUGACAACGGAGAAGACAUUCACACUACCGAUUAUGUUUUAACACUCUUCCUUGGAUAUCUAACACAAAAUAAAAGGAAACUCUAAUAAUGCAUAUCUUGUAAUAUACAUUUUUUCUCAACUGCCUCAUUAAAAACCUUAUCAAGGAAAAUCUAAUGAGACAAAAUCUUGACUAGCGAAAAAAAAGUGCAGUGUAUAUUUACUCUGCCUGAUUAAAACAUCACUUAACAUCUCGGAGAUAUCGCAUAUCAAUCUUAUAUAUCUUCUUAAAUGUUGAGGUUGGCAAUCCUUUGACGAACAAGUCUAUUAAAUUGCCACUUGAACGAACCUGUCGUACGUCGAUAUCAUCAUUCUUUAGGAGUUCAUGUGUGUAGAAAAAAUUUUGGUGAAAUGUGUUUCGUUCUAUUUCCUUUUAUGAAUCCACCCUUUAAUUGCGCUAUGCAUGUUGUAUUAUUUUCAUAUAAAAUUGUGGAUAUUUUGUUGUCUUUCGAAUCGCAUUUUUCUUAAAUGAAAUGUAUCAUGGACCUCGACCAUACAUAUUUUCGGUUUACUUCAUGAAUAGCUAUUAUCUUCACAUGGUUUAAUGAAGUGGCUACGAUAGAUUGUUUUGUAGAUCUCCACGAUAUGGCAGUACCCCCAUAUAUGAACACAUAGUCUGUUUGAGAUCGAGCUUUGUGUGGACCAAAUAAAUAUCCUGCAUCAGCAUAACCAACAAGAUCAGGAUUGCAAUCUUUAGUAUAAAAUAAGUUUAUAUCGGUAGCCCCUUUUAGAUACCACAAUAUGUGUUUAAUUCCAUUCCAAUGCCUCCUAGUUGGAGCAGAACUAUAUAUUACUAACAAAUAAACAGAAAGAGCUAUAUGAGGCCUUGUAGAGUUAGCAAUAUACAUUAGUGCAUCGAUUAUACAUUAGUGCAUCGAUUGCACAAAGAUAUGAUAAUUCAAAAUAAAAAAUUUUCUCAUUCUUUUUUUGAGGUCGGAAUGAUUUCUUAGUCACACCAAGUGAUCGAACAACCAUUGGAGUACUUAAUGGAUGUGCUUCAUUCAUAUAAAAUCUUUUUAAAACCUUUUCUGUUUUGGUAGAUUAAUGGACAAAGAUACCAUUUGUCAAAUGCAUAAUUUGCAAACCAAGACAUAAUCUUGUCCUUCCAAGAUCUUUCACCUCAAAUUCCUUCUUUAAAUAGUCAAUCGCCCUUCGAAGCUCUAUUAGAGUUCCAAUAAGAUUUAUCUCAUCAGUAUAAACAGCAAAUACAACAAACUCCGAAAUUGUUUUCUUUAUAAAAAUACAUGGGUAAAAUUCAUUAUUUGUAUAACAUUCUUUAGAUAAAUACUUACUAAGAUGGUUAUAUCACAUAUGUUCAGAUUGCUCCAAAUCAUAUAAUGAUCUCUACAAUUUAAUUGAAUACAUUUACUGAAAUGCCUCGUGCAUUUUAUAUCCUUCGAAAAUUUUCAUGUAUAUCUCAUUAUUAAUUGAUCCAUAAAGAUAGGUUGUAACCACAUUCAUCAAAUGAAUUUUAAGUCUUUCUUGGACAGUGAGACUAAUGAGAUAACGUAAUGUUAUUUCAUCUAUAACUAAUAAGUAUGUCUCUUUAUAAUCGACAUCAGGCCUUUGUGAAGAUUUUUGUGUAACAAAUCGUGUCUUAUACCUUUGUAUUUCAUUUAUCUCAUUUCUUUUAUGCACAAAGACCCAUUUAUAGCCAACAAAUUUGAUAUCAUUUGGUGUUUUAACAAUAGGUCCCAAAACCCCGCGUUUGACAAGUGAAUUCAACUCAGAUUGAAUUGCUUCUUGUCAUUUUGGCCAAUCAUUUCUUUGUCGACAUAUGUGACAGACUGAGGUUCGAGAUCCUCUCCAUCUUGCAUGAUUUUUGUUGCAACAUUAUAUGCAAAGACAUAGUCCACCACUAUUUUUGAUUGAUUCAAAUUAGUUUCACCAUCACUUGUAUUUAUGGAUAAUUUCUCAUUUUCUUGAGGUCCAGGCUUAUUGGUUUCUUCAGAAAUAUCAAAAUUGUUCAAAUCUUGAACUUUCUUAUGAGAUUGUUUCGUACUGUCAUCUUGAACAUUUAUUUUUUUCUAGGAUUUCGAUCCUUAGAAUUCAAUGGUCUAGCACGCUUCAGGGGUGCUUUGGACUCAUUAGUCACGACACUAGUAGAUGAUCCUACAGGGACCUCAAUAUGUAUUGGGACAUUCACUGCAAGAAUGUAUGAUUUUGUAAUUUUUUAAAAAUCUGUAAAUGCGAUUGACUUUUGAUUUGUAAUUUUCUGCAAGUGAAUAAUCUUUUGUACCUCUUGCUUACAAAUAGAAGCAUAUGGAUCAAGAUAAGACAAUGAUGGAUUUUUUCACAAAAUUUCUCUUUUGAUUUCACUAUUUUCUUCCCCUAAUUUUGAAAAAACAAUCUCAUCAAACCGACAAUUUGUAAAUCGAGCAGUAAACAUAUCUCCAUUUAAUGGUUUAAGGUAGCAAAUAAUAGAGGGUGAUUCAAACCCAACAUAUAUUCCUAACCUUCUUUGGGGACCCAUCUUUGUGCGAUAUGGUGAUGCAACAUGUACAUACACAGCACAUUCAAAAAAUCUCAAAUGAGAUAUAUUAGACUCUUGAUCCAAAACCAACUGUAACAGAGAAAAUUUAUGAUAGUUUAUCGGUUUGAGACGAACAAGUGUUGCAGCAUGCAAAAUAGCAUGACCCCAAACAAAGGUGGGCAACUUAGUUUUCAUAAGCAAUGGUUUUGCUAUCAAUUACAGAUGUUUAAUUAAUGAUUCAACAAAGCUAUUUUGAGUGUGGACAUGAGCUACAAGAUGUUCAACUUUUAUCUCAAUUGAGAAACAAUAAUCAUUUAAUGCUUGGGAUGAAAACUCUGCAGCAUUAUCAAGACAAAUAGACUUGAUCUUAUUAUCAAAGAACUGCGUUCGUAAUUAUAUUAUUUGUACCAACAAUUUUACAAAUGUCAAGUUGCUAGAUGACAAUAGGCAUACAUGGGACCAUCUAGAAGAAUCAUCUAUUGGUGAGGGCCUUACAAUUAAUUUUUCUUGAUAACAGGCAGUACAAGAAAAUUCAUUAUUUGAAAGAACCUUCAUGUUCUUUAAUGAAUGCCCAUUUGAAUUUUCUAUACUUCGUCUCAUCAUUAUAGAUCUAGGAUGUCUCAAUUGAUCGUGCCAAAGUUCAAUGAUAUUAAAAUUAGUAAACUUUGGAUCUAUUUUAGAAUGUGUCUCAAUCACACUAAUUUUUGUCCGAUACAAACCAGAAGACAAACCAAGAAACUUUUCUAUAACACAUGUCUAUCCGGAGACAUUCUUGGUAAUACCAAGAUAUUCAUGGUUCAAAUCAUCCACUGUCUUGAUAUGAUAAUCAUAUUCACGGAUAUCUUUAUAACUCAACAAGUUUCUUCAAGACUUAGAAAAAAAUAGCAUUAUUUAUGAUGAGUUCAACUCCCUUAGGCAAAAUUAUAAUGGCUCUUCUGAAGCCCAGUCAAAUAGUACCAUCAGAAAUUGUAGUAUAAUGUUUAUUUUGCCCAUAUUUAAAUAAAAAAAAAUUUCUUAUUUUUAAAUAUUGUGUGUGUUGUACCAGAAUCAAUUAAGCAAAUGUCUUCACAAUUGCAUAACUUGCUUUAAAAAUAAUUCAUAUCUUCAAAUAAAAUGACAUACACAAAAUAAAUAUAUAUUAAAUAUUAAUGUUGGGUAAAUUACAAAGUCAAUAUUUGAGAAAUUAAAUGAGUGAUGUUCAUUUUCAUGGUAAGUAUUGAUACAAAUUCACAAGCACUAAGAUUCCUUUUUCACAUAAUUGUUGAGAAAACAAUAUCAAUAUGUUAAAAAAAAGACUUAUAGGUAAUUUGAUUAAAUAUUUCUCUAUAAACAUAACUCAAUGAACUAUAUUUUAUGAUAUUCAAAAAGAUGCAAGAAUUAAAACUAUAAUUUAAUAAAUAAUUUUUUUUUGUAAGCAGACAGUAAAUUACAAUAUCAAAAUAUGAUAAAAUUAAAUCAAAAAUAAAUUACUACGAAACUUACGCUAAUAUGACUAAAACAAAAAUACUAAUAAAAUAGAACAACUAAUUUAACAUUUAUUCAUUACAAUACUAUUACUAACAAAUAUUAAAAGUUGUUCACUCUUCCAUAGCCACAGAACUAUCACCAAUCAGAUGAUCUAUCUUUCCCNNNNNNNNNNNNNNNNNNNNNNNNNNNNNNNNNNNNNNNNNNNNNNNNNNNNNNNNNNNNNNNNNNNNNNNNNNNNNNNNNNNNNNNNNNNNNNNNNNNNNNNNNNNNNNNNNNNNNNNNNNNNNNNNNNNNNNNNNNNNNNNNNNNNNNNNNNNNNNNNNNNNNNNNNNNNNNNNNNNNNNNNNNNNNNNNNNNNNNNNNNNNNNNNNNNNNNNNNNNNNNNNNNNNNNNNNNNNNNNNNNNNNNNNNNNNNNNNNNNNNNNNNNNNNNNNNNNNNNNNNNNNNNNNNNNNNNNNNNNNNNNNNNNNNNNNNNNNNNNNNNNNNNNNNNNNNNNNNNNNNNNNNNNNNNNNNNNNNNNNNNNNNNNNNNNNNNNNNNNNNNNNNNNNNNNNNNNNNNNNNNNNNNNNNNNNNNNNNNNNNNNNNNNNNNNNNNNNNNNNNNCCAAUCAGAUGAUCUAUGUUUCCCUAAGGAUGCUCGAAAAAAUCUGUUACAUCUAAGUGAACAACGCCAAUAUGAUUUUCAAAGGUAAAAUUAGCUUCAGGAUUUUUAUCCUUUUUCUUUAGUGAUGCUUGAUAAAGCUCAACCAAGUGUUUGGGAGUACGACAGUCACUUGCAUAGUAUCCUGUUGCACCAUAUCGAAAACAAACACAUGCUUUACCUUCAUGUUUCUCAUUCUUUUCUUGUUCCUUUUGAUGGAGCCGCUUUGUUUUUAUGAGUGACUAACACUAGGGACAUGAUUUCUUUCUUGAUCAUAAUCAUAGCCACAAUCACGUCCGUGUUCAUGUGCACGAUCAGAUCCGCGAUCCUUUCCAUGCCUAGCAUAGUGGAUCUCAUUCACUUCAGAAAAUGGUGUACAUACAGUAGAUCAAAGCUCGUGAUAUUUCAUUAACAAAUCAUUACUUUGUUCAGCCACAAGAAGAUGAGAACUUAGUUUAGAAUACUUUUUGAAACCUUUCUCUCGAUAUUAUUGCUGCAAGAGAACAUUUGAGUCAUGAAAGGUGGAGAAUGUCUUUUCCAUCAAAUACAUCCAAUCUUAUCGUGCUUUAGAAUGUAUGACCAUCUUUAGGUGGUCAUACCUUCUUUUUAGGUUAUUCCACAAAAUAGGUGGAUCCUUAAUAGUAAGAAAUUUAAUUUUUAAAAUUUCGUCAAUAUGAUGAUGAAAGAAUAUUAUAGCCUUAGUACGAUCUUGAUUUGAUGCUUUAUUUUCAUUUUAUUGAUGUCUCCAAGACUCAUAGCAUUCAAAUGAAUUUCAGCAUCCAAUAUCCAUGAAAGAUAGUUCAUGCCCAAACUCUGAAGGGCAACGAACUCAAGUUUCGUAAGAUUAAACAUGUUAAAAUAAAGAGAAAAAUAAUACCUUAGCCUUCAAAUUUUGAGACAAUAGAGUCUCGUUCUGAUAUCGUGUUAUAAAAUAAAAGAACGAAGUAAAGAAAAUGAGAAACAAAUAUUAGACUUUUAUUAUAUUUUGAUCUAUGUACCAAAUGGAAACAAAGGCAUGCCUUUAUAGGCAAUUUCACCAGCAUUCCAACCAGUGUAAGUAGCUGAUUUAUGCAUGGAAAGUCUUCAUUGGAAAAUAAAGACAAUGUUGAUAAUGGAGAAGACAUCCACACUACUGAUUAUUUCUUAACAUUAUUGCAUUAAUCUCUAUAUUUUAUAUAUUAUUUUUAGGCAAAAGGGUAAAAAAUACUCCAUUACUUUGAUAAAUUGACUAAAUUUGUCCCUCAUUAUACUAUUGAAUUAAAUAUACUCCUAUUAUUAUACUAUCGGGCCAAAGAUACCCUUGCCAUUAGCAAAGUUAUUAAAGAUACCUUCUUUUUAACACCUCCCCACCAUGACAAAGUGUGAACCACGUGGCAUGAUAUUUGGAUGAGGUGGAUGCCACAUGACAUGCCAUCUCAACAUCAAUUUUUUUUUCCUUCAAAUUUUAUUUACUUAGUUAUUUAAUCUAUAAUUUUUUCUAAACAAAUAAAAUAUGUGAGUAUUUAACACCAAAAGAACAAGACUAAUCACUUCACUAGUAGUAAAAUAUUAUGACGGUGUCAAUUUUUAUUAGCAUUUCGCUAACCCUAAACCCUUAUUUUCAGCACCUUUCCACUGGACUUUUCAAAAUUCAUCAUAUUCUCCGGCAACUCAGUUUUCAAACUAAUCGUUUUUGCUCUUUACAACUCGACGUGUGGCACAUCUUUCUUCCGCCACCUUUGAUGGGGGUUCUCUUUUAUUUGGUGAGGAGAUAUCGACGUUUAUUAAUGAGAUCAGUUAUUUUAUUUUAAAUAAAUAAAAUAUGUGAGUAUUUAAAUUGUCAUUUUUUUAAAAUACAAGUAAUUAGUACAAUUUGAAGCAAAAAGUUCAAAAUGAAAAAGGAAAAAAAAUUUGGAUGCUGAGGUGGCACGCUACGUGGCAUCACCUGAACCAAAUGUCAUGCCACAUUGCUCUCACCUUGCCAUGGUGGAGAAGUGUUAUAAAGAAGGAUAUUUUUGAUAACUUUGUUAAGACAGAGGUGUAUUUGGUCUAUAGUAUAACAACCAGGAUACAUUUGGCCAAUAGCAUAAUGAGGAGCAAAUUUAGCCAGUUUAUCAAAGUAAAGGGGUAUUUUGUCCUUUUGCCCUUAUUUUUAUGCAUAAAAGAUGAUAUAUUAGCAAGAUAAAAAAAAUAUUCCGCCUUUACAAACUCAAAUUAAUAAAUCUAUAUGGUAAUUAAUAUUUACUAACAUUCUCUUAGAACUCUGAUACUUGUUGUGUCUUUAGUCUCACAUGUGUCUUUCUUUCAUUUUAUCAAAAAAAAGUAAAAAAAAAUAAAAAUCACUAUUUUUUUUCUUUGUAAUUCAUCUUGGUGGACAACCUAGUCCACCAUUUUCUCAGAGCACAGGUUGAAUCGCCGAAAUUUAAUAUUUUUUUCCAGAUACGCUAAACGAUUUCUUAUAACAAAAUAAUCACUCAAACUCUAUUGAUACAUCAAAGAAAAUUAUUAGGAGAAAAUUCGAAAUACAUUUUAGGUGAUACUCGAACUAAGUUGAAUGACCUUUUGAUUACAAAAGAAAAUUGUUUGAUAACAGCUUUACGCAACACUUAGGAAAACUCAAUCAUUUUUUCGUUACAAUUAUGACACUCAGGCGAGAAAUGAGAUGCUUUUUUGUUUCAAAAUAACUUAGUAACUUUGGCGCAAUAAAAUAAAAAUUGUGUAAAGAGUCCGCAAAUGCCUCGAUAAUUUUCCUUUUUCUUGUUUUACUUUCUAUUUGGGUUCUAACAAAGCAUUAUUAAAUCAUGAAAAACUACCAUACCAUUACGGCUGACUGAAAAAUCACAUUACAAUUUCAUUUUGGUCUUUUCUUUCUCUCACUUUGUUGUCACCUGCCCUUCCUUUGUACUUGUACCAUUUUGCACACACAAGAAAAUAACCCAAAUUCAGAAUCUCUAGUGCUGCAAUGAGGUAAUAAAAAUAGUCUAACUUCCCCUUGUUAAGGUCUUCAUCCAACCAACUUGAUGUCUUAUGAACAAGUGAUGCCAAGAAACUGCUCAAAUAACUUGACCCUGCCAUUCCAACAAAGAAGAGAGACGCCGCGAUGCUCCUCAUGUUUUCAGGACAUUGUUUGUAGAAGAACUCGUUUUCGCUGAUCAAUGUAAAUGCCUCGGAAAGACCUGAAUUCAAUUAUGAGUAUAUUUGAAGUAUGUUAAAGUCAAGAAUAGUAUUAGAAUGUUGGAAUUGUGUCUCAACAUGAAUUUCAGUUGGAAAAGAAUUUAAAGUUCAUUCUUGAUUAAUGAAAACAUCCUUUGCAAAUGUUUUCACUGCCCGCGACUGUCCACUGGUGCAUGAUCAAUGCAUGGACACAUGCACCAUUGGACAGACAGCAGAAGAUUGUGAAUGAAAAUUAUUACUACUGUUUGAUAUUACUCAACUGUUCGUGAACUUCAAAUUCUCUAUUUCAAGUUGAAGUUGAAAUGAUAAAUGAAAUUGUAAAGCGAAUGUUGAUUUGCAAAUGCUUACCUAAUAAUGCUAACUGAGGUAUUAGCCAGAGUCCUGACAUGGAUGAAAUUGCACCUUUCCCCUGAGUCAUUUGUAGCAUUGGCCUAGUUAUUGCCAGGGUUCUUCUCUUGUCUUCAACAAUCCCUGAUAUGACCAUUGUUACGAUCGAUAAAAAUAUGCCAAUUCCCAUUUUCUGGAGAAGGGUGAUUCCAUCUUCUUUUCCUGUGAAUUUCCGAAGCCAUGGAAGUAAAACGCGAUCAUAAAUAGGUAGCCAAAUUGUUAUGCUGAGCAUGGAAAUGACUAUGAAAGAUGCUGGUGGGAUAUGGAAAUUGAUGUGGCCUAGUUGAUUGUCACUUUGUAAGGCUUGGAAGAUGACAUAAUUUUGUGAUUGAACAACGGAGACAUAAUAGAUAGUUCCAGCAACCCAUAUUGGGAUUACUCUCAGUAAGCAUUUCACUUCUUCCACUUGUUGAAUGCUGCAAAGCCUCCAUGGAUUGACUGCUGAUCCAUCUGAUGAGUUUAUCUGGUCUUCCGGAGUUUUUAUUGCUGCUUUAUUCAAGAAUCUGAAAUCAUGAGAUGUUUUAGUUAGUCAAGCAGUUACGCGUAAGAAAACAACUUUGUGAUUUUACUGUUACAUAGGGUUGAAUUCUAUACUCAUACGUCAAAUUAACUCGUAAGUUAUGAUGCUAGCAAGAGGAUUUACCUAAACUGAUCAGUGUAAGGAAGCAUAGAAUUCAAAGAAUUGGAAGGCACAUAGUUGAAUAGGGAGAAGCAUGGUUGUUGUGGCAGCUGCAAGUGCCUUUUCUUGAAUGCAGCCACUAAGACCUGUGCCACACUUGACAAAGGGCUGCCUUUUGGCACAAACCUGACAUAAAUAUUAGUGCCCACAAAGAAAAGUGCACAAGAAAGGAACAUAAUAAUUGCUGGUAUGGCUAAUCCCAGAGACCAGCUGAUAUUUGUUUGGACAUACACAAUGACAGUCAAUGAGACCAUCACAGCGAACGUGCGCGUGAAAUAGUACCAGUUGAAGAAGCUGCUGAUUCCUCUUCUUCCUGAUUCAGUGUUGGGAUCAAAUUGAUCAGCACCAAAUGCUAAACUACAAGGCCUUAUGCCAGAAGCACCAAUUACUAGCAAUCCGAACCCUCCUAGUAAAAAUGUCAGUUGUCCUGUUGUUGGACCAACACAUACUGGUGCAGUUCCUUGGUUUUCACAUUCAGGUGGAUGAAGCUUUGAGACUGAUGCUGUAAAACUCAGAACUAACAUCCCCUGUAAAUUAUCAAAUUGGAAAACAAAGAUAAAAUCUGGUCAUAACAAGGACUUUUAAACAAUUGAUUAAGUUAGUGUGCGCUUAGUACGACAGAAGUCAUUUUCUAGACAAUUUUUGUCCUUUUUUCCAUGUUAUAUGAUAAGGAGAUUGUACCAAGAAAGAAGACUGAUAUUACUUUUUCACUUCUAUGACCAAUAUUUUCCAUAAAAAAAUGACUUCCGUCAUACCAAACAACUCUUAGUCUCAACUUUUACUGAACACGAGUAUUUCUUAUACCAAGAAGGAAGACACUGAAGCAAAUGCAAGGACAUUGUAACGGCCAAAGUAAGUAUCAGAAAGGAAAGCUCCAAGCAAGGUGCCAAAGUUGCAAGUGCCAUUGAAGAUGUUGACAAUAUUAGUAGCUGUUAUGGUCUUCAAAUGAAAUAUACUUGUCAGAUAAACCAAGAGAUUUGAUGAGCUUCCAAUUGUUCCUAGCUUCUCAAAUGUCUCAUUCCCUGCAGUUUAUCAUGCAAAAACAAGUUGAAGUCGACUAUGAAAUCCUCACUUUCAUUUAAGCUCAUUUCUCAUCAGCUGUCAUACUAAAUAGUUUAGCAUACAACAAUAAGUUUGAGUCGUCUAUAUGAAUCCUCUCUUUCAUUUAAGCUCAUUUCAUACCAUUGUCAUACUAAACAGUUUAACAUAUAUUGAAAACAUAAAGUAAUGUCAAGAAAAGGAACACUAUGAAACUACUCAAUAAUAAGCUGUUUUUUUCUGUAGAAGUUUAGAACACAUGAAAAUUACAAUACCUAUGACAAAGGGCAUUGCUCUUAUUCCUCUAUAUUUGAUUUCAUCUUUAGUUGCUUCUUUGUUAGUUUCCUCCAUGGCUGCUAGUAAGGUUGUAGUUCUUCUGUUAUUUUUUCAGUCAAUACUACUAAGGAAUGAGGCAAAAAUGAGAUGGUUAUAUAAGAGGGAGAUGCACAUAUAUUAAUUGAAUCUUAUUCUUUUCUCAUUAUGGAAUAAGUUGACUUUUUCCUCUAUGCACUAUAUGUGGAAAGAACUCUGUGGAACUUUUUCUAUACUGUUGGGACAUGUGGAGAAAGGGAAACCACCUUAGUGGAAUCACUGUAUUGAGUCUAAUAUUCAAGGAUAUUAAAACUUAAUUUCACUCAACCUCAGACUAACUUAAAAUUUACAGACAUGUUUGCUUCCUAAAGUAAAAUACUCCUUGUUCAAGAAAGUUAAUAGAGGAUUUUCUUUUAUGAAAAAUAUUGAAGUGGGGUUAAAUCAAUUCUUUUUUGUGUACAAUAUUAAAGUGGUGUUAAAUCAAAUCAUACGUUGCAUCCAUUAAAAUGAAAAACCAGUGUUGUUGGAAAAUGAGUUGUUGCUCACAACAAUCCAUCUAUGGAAAUUGGAAAGGUACUCCAUUGCUGAGAAACAAACCAAUAUUAGUGUGAACUAGUUUAUCAAUAUGCUCGAAGUAUACAUUAUAUAUCCUCUCCGGCGGUAUAUGCUGUGUAUACGUAUUUAUAUCAUAUAUAUAUGGUGUAGGUAGCAUUUUCUGUAUAUUUAAUACUCCAUAUAAAAUAUACACUAUCUGCACAUUGUGUACAUAUUCUCUAAACUAAAUUACCAUAAUUUUUGUAUAAUAAAACAUGAUCAAUAUAAAAUAGAAAAAAUAUAAGUGAAAGUAGAAUUCAGAGAUUGUCCUAUUCAAAUGUCUUUAAGAGCUGUCAUAAUACAAAAAAGUAGAGCACCUUUUAUAGGAUGAAAAAUCAUCCAUGAAUUACAAAAGAUAAGCUUAAUAGUAGUAAGUAGGUACAUGUACAACAAAUAUAUCAUCAUAAUCAAGCCUAAUAGGAACCUUUUUGAUGUUCAUUUACCUAAACGUAUGUACUAUAUGGCACUACACUUCUAUACACUAUACUUUCUUUUUCUCUGUCAUUCAGAUUAGAUUGCAGGAGUUGGAUAGAUUUAUUGGGACUUGUUUCCACCACAAUGGUGGCAUUUAGUUGUAGGACUGGUUUCUGGCACCCAUCACAUUCAGAGAAAAGUAGGAACAGAAGUAUAAUAAAGUAACAGUAUCAAGCAAAAUCUAUUGCCUCUCCUUCAGAUAUGCACAAAGUAUGUUUAUGCAAGUAUCAAACUUCUGUACUAUAUGCUAUCUUGUAAAAGCAAUUCCUUUUAUUUUUUUAAGGAAUUGCUAGUUUUUUCAAGAACUUCCAAUGGCAGACUGCUAACAGUAAGAUUAGAUCAAGCUGACUAGCCAGCCUCACAAACGCGUUAUAUUGACAGGGACAAAAUAUAGUAUAUUUUUUUACAGGAAGAUUAUCGGUCUGAGUCCUCUUCAUAGCACUUUAUGCAUGGUACAUGAACAAGCUGCUUCCAGCAGAGCAAGCGAUCAAAUUGUGUGUUGGAUGCCAAGCCAGAUGCAGCAACUUGGACUUCAGAUUACAGGAAAUCUCAUUUUCUGAGAUAUCUUGUCCUGAAAUCACCAACAAAAAGCAAUGUAAAUAAGAUGAAAACCAAGUCACGGGGGUUGGAUAUGCUACCAUUUGAUGAAUUACUUGCCCUGCACAGGCACAUGCAUACUUGUUACGAACUACCUUGGCGAUAAAAUCCUCGUGCUAAGUUGCUCAAUGAUGACCUUCGUGGCCUUGAAGUAGUUUGAGAGGUCGGUUUUCUACAAAUGAAGGUGUAAUGAAGGGUCAAUUCAAGAAUAAACGAAGACAAAUAGAGGAUGAUCUUAAAACAAGGGUUACCUAUUUGGUUCUUUUUUGACUUCCACUGUGAUGCCAUCUUCAUUCCCAGUUCCACAAGAAAAUAUGCGAAGAUGGUUGCUAAAUCAACAAAAAGUUACCGGAAUUCAUCAUAUGUACAGCAACAAAAUGAAAGUACAAGUAGACGACAACCCACAUCGCUAUUCAUAUGUUGGCAUAGGUUAGAAAUGUAAUUGAAGGAUAAACCUGUAAGAUCCAGUUGCAAAUUGAAGUCCGUCUCCGUUCAGGCAACAAUCAAACUUAUCAAAGAUGGCAUCAUUCGUAUACAACUUAGGAAGCUGCCACACAACAUGUAAAGUCAACAAACUGCAGUACAUGUAUUAUCAUUUUCAGUUUUAUGCAUUACACCAUAUCACUAACUGUUUACAUCUCGGUAAACCUCUCAGAAAAAAUUGUGGCGAAGACCCUCAUACCUUAGGGCGGAGGUGUUCAUGAAUCUUAUAUGUUGCAACUGGGGAAGUCUCCAUGUGAGUGUCCCAUAGCUAUCAAAUAGUAAGCAAAUAAGACAUAAUUACGGAUCCAUCUUAUGACAGCGAAAGUAAAACAUAAAAGAAGGCCAUGAACACUGGAAAUAUGAACCACACGAAGUCACAGCUUAGUUGUCAUGUCACCAAGAUAAGAGAACAAAGAAGAUUCCACUAUUGAGAGAUGAAAGAAUCAAAAGGUGGAAGUUAACAAGACAAAAAAGGAAAAGCACAAGUCAACAAGCUGAAUACACGUUUAAGGCCCCAAAACAUGAAUUAAGGAAAAUGUUGGACACAGAGAAUUCCCCAGAAUAAAUAGUGCAUGAAGCAACUAAUCGAGGAGUGAAAGAUGUGUGAGAAGCACAUAUUAAUACUAUCCUUAAAUCACUCGGUUUAGCUCUUGAGUAUUAAAUUGAAAAUUUUGUAUUCAGAAUUCAUUUCUUUGAUGAAUGUAAAUGCAAAGGAAAUAUAGUUGAUGAGAAGUUCAGUGUACAUAUACAGUAAAAGGAUUAUCGAAACUAAGAAGACCUUCAGAGUCAUGUAAUCGCGACUUAAAAUAUGCCUUCCGUCCAUUGCAUACUUCAUGUCAGAUAUAGAAGCAAUGAUCUCACUGAAAAGUGUUUUAGAGCCAUGGGUCCUCCCAUCUUGCAUUCUGUAAAAGGUAGUACCAAAAGUUGCAGCUCGUAAGAAGAAGUACCGUAAGCCUUGUUAGAGAAGCAGACUAGAAGCAUCACUGCAUCAUACAGAUGAGAGAAAUAAAAUGGAGAUGGGUAUAGAACUCACAUUUUCACAUUGUGAUCACAUAGUGCGGACUUCCUCAUGUCAACAAGCCGGAUGAAUCCCCGCGAACUACUAUAAGCCAACAAAUUGCAAUGAAGUGGAUGGAAUUCUGCUGAUGUGAUCACCUCUACAUAGAAAAUGGUGCAAUGGUCAUUUUCAUCCUUUAUCAGGUGGCAGUCUGGCCAAACUUUUGAUGCAGAAUAGAAGUAUAUGGUGAUGAAACUAAAUUACCUAAUGGCAUUAUUCGAUCCAUAUCAUAAAGUGGAUCAUCAUUUCAAAUUUACAGUCAAGUCCUUUUCAGGGGAAGGAGUAAGGGUGGCUUCUGAUUCCUUUCAAACGUUCAUAGAGUUUCUUUCUUUCUUUCUUUCUUUCUUUCUUUUCUUCUAUCCUAUUUUUUCUUGCUUGAGAUGAUAGGAGCCAUUCUCCUUAUAUCAGAGGAGAACAAGAUGUCAGAAUGAUGAAUGAAUGCACUUAAAGAAGAAAAAAAAACCUUUAUGGAUUUGGCCGCAUCUCUUUCCUUUUAAUGCCUUUCCAAAUCACAGCUAAUGAUCCCUUAGAUGCUGUAUCAUUCUUUCUUUCAUGCAUCUUGGAAUUUAAUGAUAAAACCAAAAGCAACCUAUGAUUGCUUUCCUCCAGAAAUCUUUUAGCGAAGAAGAGUAUACAAUGACAGGCCUGUCAUUCCAAACUAGCACCACCACCUCCUCCCCACUCACCCCAAAUAAAUGAGGCUAAAACUGUUCUCUUCUAUAUCAACAGGACAGGCCAAGAAGCUUCCCCCGCCCUCACCCAACUAACGUCAUCCCUAUCAUGAGCUUUAACUGUAGAUCACUUAAGAUGGUAUAUACUCAAUAAGCGAGGCCUAUGUAGAUUUCAACUACAUAAAUGUUCAAUCUACACAUAUCCUUAUGUUGCUAAGUGUACCUAUGAGGACUAAAAUUACUGCCUGAAAUCAUAUUUUGCCUUCUGUAAGUUCUUGAAGUACUUGGCAUCAUAUCAUUAGCAGGUAGUGUUUAUAAAUUAUAUCUCCAUACUUUUAGAGAAUAUAAACUCGGAAAUUUCAAAUAAUGGGUUAACAGAGAGUAGAAGCGAUGCGUGAGAUAAGAUCCAAUAGGUUAUAUCAUAUGAAUUGCUUCUAGAUUACCUGUAAGAUCUUCCAUAUCCUUCGGCUUCAUGUCAAUGAUAUUGAAACACUGAUCGCUAACCUCAAGGUUCCAUACGUUUAUCCUAAGGUCAUCCCCAGAAAGGAAUGUCUCACCAUCGCUGUAAUAUUAAAACCAGAUUAUUACCUAAUGCCCGGCACUUCUUCAACUGGUAAACAGCUUUCAUAAUUUUUCUGGUACAGAUACUUAAAGAAGGAUAAUCUGAGCUGAUCGAUCAAGCUCAAUCAGAAAUAUGAACAACAGGUGCUGGUCAAAUUUCAUUUCAAGUGAGCAAGUUUAAAAUUCAUAAUAUAUGCAAGAGCAUAAGAAUACCUAUUGUUUGAGAUGGAAUUGAUGUUGAAAUCAUGAGCAUUGGCAUACACUCUCCGAGAUCUUAUAGAAGCCUCAUUUGUGAUAUCAGCAAGCUAGAUACAAUGGAAGCUGGAAUUACAAGCUAUCGCAGCAUGUCAAAUGCAUAUAGUUUGGGGAGAAGUAAAUGUAAUAAGAAUGCAAGAAUAUUUCAGGUAACAAGUUAAAUGAUUUACACUCUUCCAUGUCAUACAUGUGAUGGCGAUGUGCUGUUCAUUUUGUUAGUCCAUUCUAGACUGCUACCAUUAGCAUGAGAUGGUUCACUUUGUCCGCUUGUAUAACUUCUAUCAGCUAAAAGAGAAUUCUCUGACGUCACAGAUGGAUUGAUGACCAUUUGUUUAACGUUCUUUACUUUCUGUUCCUUGAUCUGAAAAAGAAACAAAUAAAGAAAAUAGUAAAUUGAUAUGUACAACUUAGUAAACACACAGUAGAUGGGAACUGACAACUCGAUCUAAUUCCAUCGAGAAGGAACACCCAUCUAGCUUUUUUCUUAAUUUCAUAGACAAUAAAAUUCCAUCUUGGAUAGACUCUGAACAGACAAUAUAGUUAAUACUUGAUUUUUUCAGGGUGCAUUGUAGUAUUAGAUCACACAACAUAACAAAUGGAUAACAGAAUCCCCUGAAAGGUCUCAUCCAAACUUCCAGAAACUUAUAAGCCAGAACCAUUUGUCUGAAGUUUCACACAUGCCAUAGGUAUUUCAUACCUUCCAAAGUUUUAUCGUCCUGUCAUUUGCUGUAAGAAUAAAUAAUGAACUGUUGAGUUUCGUACACCAUCUGAUUUUAUUAAUCUUCUCUUCGAUUUCCACACUCUUCAAAUAAUCAAACUGAAGAAGAUUUAACAUGAUCAGCAUUUGUAGUUCAUAAAGAUCACCUAUACAUGCAGAAUUUUAAGCAGCCGUAUGCCCGAAGAUAGAUAAAAUGAAUAUCUAAUUAUACCUCGGGUUCAUGACUCUGGAACUCCGUCUUAUAUUUAAAUUCAGGAUGCUGCCUUUGUGGAAGGUUGAACCGACCAGAGUCACUUCGAGAACUGUACUCAAAGGGAUCCUAAAAGUCCAUAAAGGUGAACAGUUACAUGUGAUGCGAAGUUUGAAUGACACAAAUGAUAUUUCUGAAAAUUUUGUCCGCACUUCUUUACCAGCCUGCCGCUCAAAAAUCAUAACACGUCCACCUUGAUCUCCAACAGCCAGAUGAUCACCAUUCUUGUCAAACUCCAUUGCAGAUAAAAUAUCGCCUAACAUAUAAUGCUUUUUAUGCGCAGGUCAUUGAGAAAUGUAAAGGCAGAAGUAAAAGUGACACCAUUCCUUCUUGUUCAUUGUAUUUCUUUUGUUCAUAAUUCCUCUUCUUUUUAUUCAGGUGAGAGGGCAAAAUAAGGAAAGAAGAACUAGACAUCUCUUUGCUGUUUUCAUUUUCAUAUAACUGAAACACAAAAAAUGUUAUAGAAGUAUGAAGUUGUGCACCCACAGUCACUUGCAAAGGUACCAAAAGCUCACAGACAACCAAUUUUCUUUUGCUGGGUGUAUGAGAAUUUCAAGAUACAUCUAUUAUUAGAUGAAGAAUAAAAGCUCAGAGAACUGAAAGAAUUAUUUUCCAUUAUAUAAACAGAAUUGGCUUCAACAACUUUUCCCAACUUUCUGUGGUUUAACAAUCCUCAUACCACGUGCAAGCCCCUUCUCAUUCAAAGGAAGCAAAAGCCCAUGCCAGUUCUUCCCCUUGCCAUAUAUACGAUGAGUUAAUUUGAUGGAUUGGCUUGUGAACAGUGUUCCUCUUUUUUAUUGUUUUUGGCUCUAUGAUAUUGAUUCUUCUCACAUUCUAUCAACAUAACAAACAUGGCUAACAGAAAAGUGUAAACCAUAAUAUCCUUCCUAUUGUGAGAGCCUCAUCAACUUAAGUCCCCAACUGAAUUUUCAAAGGAACACCUUACUCAACUUCAAGAUUGUUCUAUACAUAAUAAAGGAGUAUGAACUAGUUCCGUGACGUCCCUCAGCUAACAGGUGCCUUGUUCUCAACUACAUAUUCAAAAAACUUGCUUCUCCUAUUUCUUAAUCAUAGGGAAUUGUGUAAUACUAAAGGAAAAAAACACGCAUCUUGGUGCACUAAGCUCCUAUUAUGCAUGGGGUCAGGAGAGGGACGGAUUACAAGGGUAUAUUAUACGCAACCUUACCCUACAUUUCCGCAAAACCUGUCACAUGGCAACAACUUUACAAGUUAAGGCUACCUUCCGUGUAAUACUAAAGAAGCAGGUGGAAAAUGCUAAAGGAUUCUUUCUGAUAGCAUCAAUCAGUCUCUCGUCUCAACUGAACAUCGGACCCUCCAAAUUCAAGCAAUAUCCUUCAUUCCACAAUUAACAACAACAACAACAACAACAACAACAACUACUACUACUACAACUACUACUACUACUACUACUACCGCCACCACUACUGAGCCUCAAUCUCAAACUAGUUGGGAUAAGCUAAAAUGACACCUGCCAGAAUUGAAUCCGCAUCCCAGAUUUCUAAUAAUCCUUGUAUUAUCUUUUGUUAAUUAACACGUGACAAUUUCUGUAUGGAACCAAAUCAGACAGUUUUACCCUAUUUGGCUUCAAGAUUUCAGGUAUAAAACUACAGGACAGCAAAAUUCCUUCGACCCUCCUACUUGCCUUCCAGUUACCUUAAGGAAAGGACCGUUCAAAUAAGAAGAAUAUUACUAUCAUUCACCACUCAUAUUCUUUCAGUACUUUGCUUUCUGAUAUAUUUCAGAAACAAAUAGUAUUACACAUUCCAUACCAAAGCAAAUUGAAGAAAUGGAAAACCAAAGGAAGGCAACCAUUCACAAAUUAAAUAGCAAUAUGAUACUCAUAUUGAUCGAUAUACACCCUCAACCCCCCCACAAACUCCAAUGAAGAAAAAUACAAAUAAAACAGUAUACUAGUGGAAUUCAUGACAUAAAGAGCAAGUGACAUACAAUCUUGAAUGUCUUCAUGAGGAGUUUGUUCACCAAAGACUUGAGAGAAGUUCCAUUCAGACCCAAAACUCAUAGCUCUUAAUUCCUUCACUCAAGACACUGAGACUCCCAAGAUUCUAACAGUACUUACAAGGUUGAAUCUUGGAGACAAGAAGAAUACGGGAGAAUCUUGAAAACGAAUGAAGUUAAAGUGUGUGUACAUGGGGCUACUUUAUUUUCUUUGUUAUCCACUCCAGAUGUUUCCCGGGUAAAAAAAAAAAAAAAAGGUUUGUGCAUUAACUGUUUUUUGUCUUUUUAUAUGAGUAACCAAAGGUCUGAUACUAGCACCGCAUAUAUAUAUGAUAUGACCCAUCCUUGUUGGCUAUAAAAUGGAGUUAAAUUUAAUAUUAACAUAUUUCGAAAACUGUACGAUCGAUGUUUCUUUUUAUAUUAAUACUAUAUGAUAAAAAUACACAUCCUAAAAUAUUAAUUGAAAUUUGUGAAGUUUGAUUCUUGAAAAGUAAUAAUAAAUGAAGGGAUGGAGGGAAUAUUUCUUUUCCGGUCCAUCUUUAUAUGCAGUGCAGCUCAUCAUUAAUUAAUAAAAAUGAAAUGAAACAAAGAUGUCAUGAAUUUAAAUAUAAUGUAAUUUCAAUUUUAAAUAGUCUGUUUAGGGUUAACAAGAUUUUAUGACAAGUAAAAGUAAAAAAAAUUAUUUUGAAAUAGGGACAAGUAAAAGAAAAUAGAAAAAAUAUUAAUGACAUAACACAUAAAGAUGUUAGUACUCCCUCCGUUCUAAAUUACCUAUCCUAAAUUUAAUCAAUAAAAGAUAAAAAAUUUCUCUCCAUAUUUUACCUUUUUUGCAUUAAUUACUUUUUUGUCAAAUUAAAUUAUAAAUAUCAUUUAAUAGAGGUACUAUGAUAAACUAAACAUGUUAUUAAUUAUUUUUCUUAAUCAAUGUGUAGGAGUAUUUAACUUGACCUUAACUGAUAUUUAUGUACUCUAAUUCUUAAUGUGCACUUAAACUUGUAUAUAAACUUUAAUAAGUAGACAUUCAUCUGGAAGCGACGUCCUAUAACGUGUAUGUGACUGGUUCAAAAUUUAAUUCCUACUUGUGCACGUGCAAACUUUACAAUUUUGACCCCGUUUUCAAACUAAAUAAAAAAGUAGAAAAAUGAAAUCAAGAUUAUUUUGACCUUUUAAAUGUUUUAUUCAUGCAAGGAAAAAACGACAAGUUAACGCAGAAGACUUCACAAUGGCAGGGUAAAAAUAAUCUUGGAAAUGACUAGUUUGACUCAGAUUUUCAGAAAUGAUAAAAAUGAGUGUACAUAUAUUUUUUCUUCUUUUUUCCACUCAGAAAAUAUAAUGGCCAGCAAAGAGCCAUUUCUUAUGCUUGUUUAUUGUCAUUACAAACAAUGCUUUCCACAGAAAUCUACAGCCGCCGUACAAAUUUCACAAGCCAAAGUUGCAUUUGUUUUUUGUUCUCUUUUCAACCCCUUCUUCUAGUCCUUCUCCAAGCCAAAAUUGCAAGUUUUGUGUUAUCCAUUCUUUCUUUGAUUUUGAAUCUUUUAACAAUUACUCAGCAGGGAAAGCUGUUGACUCCCGCGAAUAUAACAUCGACAGCUUGAUGUCUUCCACCAGGUCACGUAGCAAGUGGAGUGACUCGAGGUACUGCUUCCUUCACCUUCUGUAAGUAAGCAAAGACGUAGAAUGAGUUCAAGUGAUCAUAUUUCUAUCAAGAAAUUGCAGACAAAUUCUCCUUACGUUGGAAACUUCUAUCCAUUGAUCAAGUGUCUUCACCGCUUUGCCAGAGAGUAGUGUUUCAUGAGCUAAUGCUACUCCCUCAGCCAGAUUAUUAACACGUCCACUUACCAAGAGAGCAGCUGAUGCAUUUAGUACCUGUGGAGUUAUUUGAUAGGUAGCGUAAGAACUUCCAAGGUGAAAGGAAGCUAUUGAAAACGGAAACAAGCUAUGUCUAUUUCUUUAAAGAGGAUUUGCAUGUCCGUUAACAAGCUAUUGAAGAAACUUACAAAUGCAUCAGCAAUCGACCCUUUUUCUCCUGAGAGCACACGUCUGAGCAUCUCUGCAUUGUACGCUGGACCUCCACCUCGCAGACUUUCAAGAGUGCAACGAGGGAUGCCAAAGUCCACUAUUGAAGAAUAAUCAUGUCAGAAAUUUUUUUCAAAGAGAAAAUGUUAAAUGACUACAGAAAAAGACAUCACUCAUAAUGCAGCACUCUUUAGUGCAGAGUUCUGCAAUGUAUUUUUAGAGCGCCAUUCAUUGGUUAUCUGUGCGAAGCAAUAAGAUUAAGAAAUCUUGCACCCAAAAACAAUUUAAAAGAAAAAAAGAAGCUCUAACUGAUCCUGAUAUUAACUGGUUACUUACAUGGAUCAAAGGAGAACUUCUCAAUAUUGUCUGGUGUGACGUCAAGGACUAAUCCAGGGCCUGUGAAACGAAUUGUCAUACGUAAUAGGAAGUAAAUGGCCAGAUCUAAUCACUCCAAAUAAACAAGCAAAGUCAACAAUAAAAAAGACCAUGAAUGAAAUUUCUAAACACAACAGAUAUAUUAGAGGCAUGGAAAAGGACCAUACCAAGAGGACUCAUCUCAUCUAGGCCUUCCGAGUGAACAACCAAUGCUCUUUUCAUGCCAAACCUCUGAACUGCUUUAGCCAUUUUGUGGACCUACAAUAAGAGAUGCUUCGUUCAUCAAAUGAAUGUAGCACUGAGAAGAACGUUACAACGGAUUAGGAAGCAAGAACCAUAGGACAGAAUGGAGAUAACACCAGAAAAUUAGCACCUGAGUUCACAUAAAUUGUGUUUACAAGAUUCUUAAAGCCACAUUCAUAGAAUGCAUGGUAUUAGUGUAACCAAAGUCAAAACAUACCAGGUCUUCUUUGUAUACCCCUAUAACAGCAAACGGCAUUCUUGCUGGGUUCAACAUAGGUCCCAGGAUGUUGAACACUGUCUUUACUUUCAGUUUUUUCCUGAUAGGUCUGACAAUCUUCAUCGCCGGAUGGUAGAUUGGAGACAUCAUAAAACCAAUUCCAGCUUGAUUUACACAACUCUUUCACCCCCUGAAGUCAGUAACAAUGAGAUACACCAACAUCAACCAAGUUGAAACUAUAUGUACUGUCAGUUAUCCCUAAUGUAUCAUGCAUUUUUCAAUAAUACUCUUAACACGAUUUAUUAUAGAAACUUGCUCUUAACACCAUUAACCAUCAUCCAAAAGUAAGAGAACAACACAUAGCAUAUCCUUUUGUCUCUUAGUGGCAGUUGCCAAGAGCAAAUAAAAUGAGCACAUGAUGCAGGCAACUGAGAUAUAGUUAUAUAGAAUAAGCCCCAGAUGAAAGAAGCACGUACUGCUAUUGCCAUCAUACUACUGGGGAGUUAUUAUAGUGGACAAGUUAGUGCCAGAUAAGAAAAGCAGCAGCUUUAGAGGUUAGCAUCAAGUACAAUGGCAUGGGAAAUGUGCUGAAUUUAGCUCUCCACCUCUUCUAAAGGGUGAUUUUAAUUAAUAAUAACUUCUCAUUACAUGCUUGGUCGCUUAAUGACUCAUUAAAUUAGUCUGAUACUAACUGAUUUGGUGCAUGUAAUAACCAGUCAUUCUCCUUAUAAAGCAGCUAACUACAUAAAAAACAACAAAAACUUCAUUUUAAAACAACAAUUUCACUGACCUCAGGGUCCAGCUCAAUGGCAACACCUAGUUCUUCCAAUACAUCUGCGCUCCCACAAGCGGAUGAACUGGAUCUACUCCCUUGCUACAAUUUAAUUCCACAAACAUUCAGCCUCAAAUAUACACAGUUAUACAAUGAAAUGAGAUAUGCAGUGAGAAGGAAGAGCCUUGACAACCUUGGCUACUUUUGCACCACAAGCGGCAGCAAGUAUUGAAGCACCUGUUGAAAUAUUCACCGUGUUUGCUCCAUCCCCUCCUGUCCCAACAAUAUCAACUGCGUCGCCUAAGCCUUCAACUUGUCUGCAAUGCUUUAUCAUUGCCCUUGCCAAUCCCACUAUCUAACGAUCAUCAUUGGCUGUAGUUUCAAAUUGAUGGUUUCCAGCUCUCACAAAUAAAGGUGAGAAUUAAUGCAUUCUAAUUCUAUGAAAUCAGAUUCCUAGGCAGAGGAUUAUACCACCUGAUGCAUAGGACUGUACAUCAAAAUGGAACCUUUACAUUAUAUUUUGAAUUACACGCUCUUGCUUCAAAAAGCAAAGAUUUUUCUGAAUUAUUUUUUCUCAGAAAGGCAAUGCACAAGAGAGUCACUCUUCUCUCACUACCAAGGGAGACUAUAAAUGCUAAUGAACAAGGAAAAAUAUUCAUUUCACCUACUCUAUGCUCAGGAGUAUAUAUACACCUUUAAGGCUUAUAAUUUAUGGCAUAUAAGCAUAAGUCACAAGUUAGGAAUGCUAUUCCUACACUUUUUUUUAUCUUACGCAAACACUAUAAAACUUAAAAACUCCUAAAAUAAGCUAAUCUUUUUUCUUUUUGAUAAAUGUGAUGUGCGAGCAAGCUUGUGCACACCGUGACUAAAUCCACAGGAUACCAACAACAGGUACCGGAUAACUCUAUCCAGUAACGCUAGUACAGAUGGAAAGAAAUCAAUGAGUGUCAAGGAAAAGGAACUUACUUCUUCAAAGGUUUCACCUUUAGCUCUCAAAAGAACAAGAAAAGCACUAAUCAAAGCUUCAUCAGCACCCUCCAACAAAAAAUCAAGAGAAUCUUCUGAUUCAGAUUCCGUCAAGUCUUUCCCACUUAUUAAACUCUCGAUCAACUGCACCAAUAAUCAAAACACACACACAUACUCAAUCACAAAAUAUCAAUCAAAUUAACAAAAUCCCACUUCACAAUUUUAUUCAACAAUCUCAAAUUAUGUGACACUUUUGCUUCCUAAAAAGUCUAACAGUUCAAGUUUGACUGAGAAUUUUCACAUGAACUCUUCAAGUUUUUUGAAAUAAACUUAUAUAUUUAAUUAUUAUAAGUCACAAUAAUUGAUAAUUCAAAACAUAUAUGAAAACAUUACGAUUAACAGAUACAACUUACAGUUGAAUCUCAACAUCCGAAAAACCACACCUAAAAAAAAAGGUCAAACCUUUUACUAUUAAUUACCUGAGUAAAGGUGGAUAUGGAUGAAUGUUUAUUGGAAUAAUUGAAAGCAGCAGCACAAUGAAGAGAUGAAAAUUUGUUUAGUUGGGUAUAUUUAGCAAGUGGGUUAUUCCCAAGAAACAAUUUUGCAAAUUCCAUUCUUGCAGGUGCUGUCAAUGGAAUGCUGCACUGAAACCCAGCCAUAUUUCUCUUUUUUGUGAUGGAAAAUAGUAAGGGUACCCAAUUUAAUAAAGUGGGUUUGUUGUUGCAAUAAAUAUGGGAGAAGAAAAUUUAGAGUGCGUGUGCAAAAUGUGAUUUUUCUUUUCUAGUGUACAGAAGAGUGAAGGAAGUAGGCGAAGUCGUCGUGCCUGUUUUUUUUUUCAUAAUUUUACUAUAUUAUUUUUAAUGUUUCAACCCUAAUUUUACCAUUUGACUCCUUAUUAAUUACUUAAGUCAUUUAAAUAUUAAAAAAUAUAAUAAUAUUUAAUAAAAAUGAUAAAUUAAUUAUUAAUGUCAUAAAUUAACUUGACAUCUUAUAUGAGGACCACUUAAAUUUUUUUCACAACUAAUUUUUAUAGUAAUUUUGUUAUAUCACUUCUAAUAAGUUAUUAUGAGUUAUUUAAGACAUACUUGUUUCGCUACUUUAAUCGUGAUAUUUGGUUGACUAUUGAAAUUAUAUGUGUCACUUAAAUUAGAAUAAAAGAAACAAUAUUAUAAAUCACAAUAAUUUAAAACUUAAAUUAUUUUGAAAAUAUAAUUGGUUAUCAAUGCCACAAAAAUCUGGAUAAGGAGAUACUAUAAAGUACAAUAGCUUACAGCUUAAAAUAGUAAAUUAUAAUGUCAAAAAGUAGUAUAAAUUACAAUAGCUAAUAACUUAAAAUAUUUAAUAACAUAUUUAAAAUUUAAUUAAUUAAAUUUAUUUAUGUCACAUAAAUUGAGAUAAAAAUAACAUAUAUUAAAUUCGUACUAGCACGAGCUCUUUGGUGUCUAGUGGUAUCAAGAAAGGAGUUAUUUGAUAUAUUAAGUAUAUGGUGGGAUAAUCAAUUUCAUUAUGGGUGUGUUUAGUAUGAAGGAAAAUGUUUUCCAUGAAAAAUAUUUUCCUAGAAAAUGUUGUCCUGGAAAACAAGUUAAUUUUUUACUUAGUUUCUUAUAUUUGGUUGGUGAAUGGCAAAUAUUUUUCGAAAAAAAAAAUUUAGUAUUUGAUUGGUAAAUGAAAAAAUAUUUUUCAAAAAAUACAUUUUAGAAUCCCUUUUAAAAAAAUAAAUUAAAAAAAAUUAAAUUCUUUUUUGAGAAAGAAAUUGCUAGGCAAGUGGGUGGGGGUGUCAGAAUAGGCAGUGGGGGUGGGGUAAGAAAAAAUUUUGAAUUUUUUUUGUUUAAAAAAAAUGAAAAAAAUUGACGGGGGAAGGGGGGUUAGUAGGAGCUGGGGGUCAGGGUAGGGGAGUGAGGGGGAAGAAAAAAAUUGAAUUUUUUUAAAAAAUAAAUUUAAUUUUUUUAGGCUAGGGGGUGGGGGGAAGGGAUGGGAGAGGGAGCUGGUUAGGGGGGGAGAAAGGGUAGGGGUGUGGGGUAAGAAAAAAGUUUGAAUUUCUUAAUAAAAUGUAGAUAUUAUUUUUAGAAGGGGGCUGGUAGGGGUAGGGGUAGGAGUGGGAUGGGGUUAGGAGAUGGACUAAGAAAAUUUUUUGAAAUACUUUUUAAAACAAUUGAAUUUUGAGGGAUUGGGGUAGGGGUAGGGGUAGGGGUGGGAUGGGGGUAGGGUUGGUGUCGGGUUGAUAGAGGUAUUGGGCGCGGAGUAGAUGAUUUUGAAAAUUGUAUGAAUAUUUCAACUUUAAAGUGAGGUUGAAAGAGAGUUUUAGAAAAUGUUUUCCUUACUUUUUGAAGGGAAGUCAUUUUCCUUAGGUUUAAGGAAAAUAAGUUAGUUUAAAAAACACUUUCCAAAACAUAUAAGCCAACCAAACAUAAGAAAACUGGAAAACAUUUUCUGAAAAAUGUUUUCCUUCAUACCAAACACACCCUAUGUCUCUAACCCAUGAAAUAACUUUGCAUGUACCAUUUGUAUACUCUCUUUAUUUUAUUUGAUAUAAUCGAUAUUUUAAAAUAUAUAUUUUUUAUUCUAUUGUUAUGAGAAAAAUAAUAAUUUAAAGUAAUUUUUAUAUAACUUAUAAAUAUUUAAAUUUUAAUUUAAAAUAUUAAACUAAUUUAAUCUAUUCAACUUUAAAAAUCAAAUAAAUUAACUCUUGAGAAGCGAAGCAUAACAAUUAUAAAGGAAUGGGGAUGUCCCAACUGAGCCAAAAAAAUUUACUCCAAACUAGAUAUACAAAAACUUAGCAUUAUAUUAUAUCAAUUUAAUAAAUGUGCGAUUCAUACUUUUAUUAAAUUAUACUUUCUCUAUUUUAAUUUGUUUGUAGUUACUAUUUUGAUUUUUGAUAAUCAAAGGACAUUUUUUCUUAUAGGGAGAAAUGAUUUUAUAGUCGUUUAGAAACUUCUUUUAGUUUGAUAUUUCUUUAUGUCUUCGUUCUUACAUAUAAAUAGAUCAAAAAACGCUAUGCUCUUUUAUUUAAAUUGUAAAAGGUCAAGAGAUUUAUUAUCUCUUUUCUUUGAUUAUAUUUUUCAAAUACUUUCUAAAUUUGAAUUGUUAAUUAUUAUGACUAAUAAUACUUUUUAUAUAGUUUCUAAAUAUGUAGAUCUUAUUUUAAAGAAUUAAAUAUUUGAUGUCUAAAUUCAUUUCUAACUUUGGUUAGGUUAACUUUCGUACUUCAAGUUUGAAUCAAGCCAAUCAAAUUGAAACAGACUAUUGUUUGCUCGGUAUAUUCUUACAAUCAAAUUCAAAACUAUAAUUUUUAUCAUUUUUUAUUAAAAGAUUAUCCUUUAUGGAAAUACGUCAUGCAAAAUAAUAUCUACAAUUCCACAUUCAGAGAACAAUCUAGUGUUUGACAAUCAAUUUCAAUACGUAAAAGAUGAUAGUUACAUUAAAAAAUUUAAAACAGAUAUAAUAACCACAAAUAAAAAAUAUAAAUCUCGAUGUAGUAAAUGUCACUUCAGAAAUUUACUGGUUCUCAUGUUCCUUCAUUGAUAAUUGGUUACAGGGUUGUGAAUGUAUGUUAUAGAGUUUUUAAUUGUAAUUUAAGAUAUGUGGACUUAUGGUGACAAAUUGCCAAAAAAGGUUGUUAGGCAGUAAUAUAUGUAGGUAAUACGCAACUUUGAAUAGUACACAUAUUGAUAGUGCACUCAUUAAAAGUAAGCAGAAAUGAAGAUGUCAAAUUAUUGUCGAUAGAUGUGUAAGCAUAUUAAAAGAAAUAAAAUUAAGAAUAAUAACAUAUAAGCAAGAUCGGAAUGAAAUUUCUUUUUUUCUUUUUUUGGUUAAAAGGGUGCAUUUCAAUAUAAUAAAUAAAACAUUACAGAAAGUAUUACAUACGACAGGGCUCAGCCCGGGUUAAUUACAAAAGUGUAGUAGUUUUGCUCAUCUGAGGAUAGAGCAUUUGGAUUAAUAGAUCUUUCGAAAAAAGUUCCUCUCAUGUCUGCUUCCAAGUCAUGUUGAGCAUACAUGGGUGUAACUAGCAAAAGAUGGGCCUCUUCGAAGUAGUUUGAGGCUGCCCCAUGUUUGGCUAACUUGUCUGCGACCUGGUUCUGUUCCCUAAAACAAUGGUGUACUUCUGGGUGGCCCGUCUCCCUUAGCUUUGACCUACAAAGAUUAAUAAUGUCAUCAUAGUGUUCAUUUCCAUCUGUAAGCAUAUGCACAAUUUUAAGUGAAUCAGUAUUGAUUUCAAUAGGUAGGAGGUUGUGUUGAAUAGCUAGAGUAAUGCCUACCUUGAGGGCAAUUAGCUCUAUUAGGUUAUUAGUAGAAAACAUGAAACUUUUUGUGAAGCCUAAAAUCCAUUCUCCUAAGUGAUUACGAAUUAUACCUCCAAUUCCUCUCUUCCCAGGGUUGCCCAAACAAGACCCAUCCACAUUGAGCUUAUAAUGGUCCGCCAAAGAAGGGUUCCAUUUGAUAUGGAUAGUGGGCGUAAGAGCUCUAUUCUGAAUUUUGUUCAUGAGGAACUUGUAUUCAAUAGCUUCAUUGUAGGCCUGAGCAAAGGAAGGCUUGACAUAACCUUAUUGGAAGAGGUUAUGGUUCCUGGAUUUCCAGAUAACCCAGAGGCAAUGAGGGAUGAUUUCAUGCUAGAGAAGAGUUUUGUCGAAGGCCUUAUGUUUGGUGGCUCUCCAACUGUUGAACCAGUGAAGAGAGAAAAGGUUAGAGGUUGUGUAGGCACUGGGGAAACUAGCAUGGCCGAAUGUAUCGGCCCAGAACUGUGAGGUAGAAGGACAAUUGAAGAAUAGGUGAUUAGAAUCUCCAAUCGUGUGGUACAGAUUUUGCAGUGGGGGUUGAUGUUCAAGCCCUCCUAGCCAGGUUAAAACCCAUAGGGAGCUUGUCAUGGUGCGUGAGCCAGAUAAAGAAUUUGAUUCUAGGGGGCGUUGGGAGUUGCCAGAUCCAGGUGAAGGACUUGUCAUUUCGCAGUGAUUAGGAUUUAUUGGCCUUGACCAAGUGAAGGUAUGCUUCUUUGCAUGAGAAGGUCCCUUUGCUAUUAAUGGCCCAGACCGAAGAGUCCUUGACCACUUUGGUGCUGGGAUAGAAGGAAUUCUUAAUAUGAUGAACUAGGACAGAAGGAAUGUCCAUGGAGAUAUUGUCAAAGCACCAAGAGCCCUGGUGCCAGACCUGGCAAAGAUUAAGUUUCUCAUCCAAAAAUGUUAAAGGGACCUGGAUGAGAUUCCUGAGGGGAAGGGAGUUAGGUAUCCAUCUAUCAUACCAAAAAAGGACAUUUGAACUUUCCUUGACAGCCCAGGUUGCUAAAUCCUUGCAUCUGGCCCAAGCUUGGCAGAUAUUCCUCCAAGUUCUGGAGGCAUAAGUAUAGCAAGUAGUGUCUUCUCUAUAGUACUUGUUUCCCAGAACUUUGAUCCAUAGGUUGUCAGGUUGGGUCAUAGCUCUCCAGGCUAAACUCAUGAGAAGGGAGUUGUUUUUUUUGGAGGCUUUUUGGAUGCCAAGUCCACCCUCAGUCUUGGGGAGAGUCACAGUAUUCCAAGAAAUCAUGUGGAUUUUUCUUUUCUCAGAGGUGGACCCCCAUAUGAAACUCCUAAUGAUUCUAUCAAUUUGGUUUAAGAUUUGUUUAGGAAUGGAAAUGUAUUGCAUUACAUGAUUGGGAAUACUACAAAGGGAAGCUUUUGCAAGGGUGGUUCCACCAGCCAUAUUAAGGAGCUUAACUUUCCAACCACUAAGCUUGGAGUUCAGAGAGUCAAUGAUGAAGUAAAAAUCCCUAUUACUUGGUUUGGAGUGGAAGAUGGGGAACCCCAGAUAUUUGCCCAGCUCAGCCUUAGGAUUGAUCUGGAGUAGGUUAGCUAGCUGGUUUUUUAAGUGGGUGUUGCAGUUGUUAGAGAAGAUAACUUUAGAUUUAGAGUUGUUAACUCUUUGGCCAGAACGGGGGGAGAAACUGUUGAGAGUGGCAUUGAUAGUCUUACAGUUCUUCUCAUCAACUUUGGAUAAACGGAUAAGGUCAUCAGCAAAGAAAAGGUGGGAGACCUUGGGUCCUAAUCUGGUGAUAGAGAUUGGGUCCCUGUGUAGCAGGUCAACCUCAUGGUCAAUCCUUCUAGAAAAGAGUUUCAUGCACAGUAUAAAGAUGUAGGGGGAAAUGGGAUCUCCCUGUCUGAUGCCUCUGGUUGGGUGGAAGAAAGUAGUCUUACCCCCAUUAAUGAGGAUAGAGAUAGAGGAAGUAGAAAUACAAGACAUGAUGAGUUUAAUUAGAUUGGGUGGAAGAUUGAAGAAGUGAAGGGCUUGUCUAAUGAAGGACCAUUCAAUUUUGUCAAAAACUUUUCUCAAGAUCAAUUUUGAGCAUCAUAUUAGCUUUUUUCCCCUUCAUCUUGGAGAAGUGGGUAAUAUAUUCUUGGACAAUUAUGGCAUUGUCAGAAGCCCUUCUUUUGGCUAUAAAGCUUGAGUGUGAAGGGCUAAUGAGAUUACCAAGGUAAAGUUUUAAUCUGUUGGCAAUGAUCUUGGUAAUGAUUUUGUAUUGGGUAUUACAGAGGUCAAUUGGUCUAAAAUUCCUGAGAUUAGUAGCAUUCUUGCACUUAGGAAUCAAAUAGAGGUAGGUUGAGUUGACAUACUCAUUCAUAGUACCAGAAGAGAAGGUGUGGUUGAAGAAUUGCACAAUGGAAGGCUGAAGGAUAUCCCAGUAUUUCUGGUAGAAAAGGGGGUGGAUGCCAUCAAGUCCAGGAGCCUUUUUAGGAUGAAAGAAAAACACAACUCUUUUGAUCUUCUCCAGACUAGGCAGGGCUCCUAAGGAGGGGUGAUCUUCUGACCUAAGAGAACCCCUGAAGGAGGGGUUCCUUUGGAAUCUAAGAGGAGAAGAGGUUUGAUCAGAAGAGAAAAGAUUCUGAUAAUAGUUGAGGAUUGAGGUUGUGAUGUCCUCAGGAGUGUACAGCCAGUUGCCAGAAUCAUCUUUAAUGGAGUUAAUCUUAUUGUUCCUUCUCCUAUUGAUGGUGGAGGAGUGGAAAAACUUGGUAUUCUGGUCACCUUCAGUGAGCCAGGUUAUUCUAGAUUUGAGUCUCCAGAAUUCCUGUAAUCAACUUCUUCGUGUUGUUUACUUUUAUUAGUCACUCCGCAUAGUUUGAAUAAUUAUAGAAUUGUCUCUAUUUAUGUAUUUUGUAGGAAUGAGGAUAAAUACCAAUCUUAUUUAUAUUUAUAAUCUUUUAAAAAAAGAUAAAUUAAAUGAUUAUAGGUCCAUAUUUAGUGUAUAAUUAAUGUACAAGACAUAUAUAAAGAUUAUACAUAGAUUAUGUAGUGAUUAUUCUCCAAUUAUACAUUAUAUAUAUAUGUAUAAUCUUUACAAAUUACAUCGAUACAUUAAUUAUUAAUUAUACACUAAAUAUAGUCCAGUAAUUAUAAUAAACUAUUUAAUUUACCUUUUAAAAAGGGACAUAAGUAUAACUAAGACUUGUACCUAUCCUUAUCCCUACAAAUACAUGGAUUGAAUCAAAAUAAAAAAUUAAACAACACGUGAAAAAUGGUUAUAAUGUGGCUAUCAAAAUAAAGUACGACUAUUGCUGUAAGUUUAAAACUUAUAUGAGCUGCUAUAUGACUUAAUUUUUCUAAAUAAUAUGUAUUCUCAAUUUAAUUUUUAAUUAUUUAGGUCAAAUUAUUUUUUUUGGUACAAACACAAAAUACAAGUGCAUCAGGCUUCUUAAUUUGACCCAAUCUGUCACGCUUGGAACAUUAUCACUGAGAUUGUUGAGCUAGGCCUAUAUAGACAACUCUAUUUCACUGGAAAAACAUGAUACUUAUUAGCGAGCGUAUGAUGACUAACAAUUCUGGACUGAGAGCUAUGUUCAAAUCCAGUCCUUUUAUACAAAACUAGAGUGCUAUACCUUUUGUGGAAGCCCAUUUAAAUGGAACCUGUUGAAACAUGAAAGCCAAGGGACAAUCUUUGUGAUAUAAAUCAUAUAAUAAUAAUGACUCUACACUCUUUAACCAGCUUUUUUGACUGGGAUUGAAAUUCUUUUCCAGUAUAUCUAGUCAUUAUUUCCCCACCAAAAGUUACAUCAGAUCUCAACAGUGGUGUUGAACCUGUACAAUUUAAGUUAACAAAGCACAUUGUAGUGAACAAAGUAGGGAAAAUAAAUGCUUAUACUUCUUUAUAAUGCAUAUAGAAUACUGCAUUUUCCAUCAUAUGUACAUAUUGCAAGUAAGAGCUCAACAAUAAGUUAUAUGAAUAAACAAAUCUCUUUCACCAUAGUUACCCAAGAUGUACAUCUAGCAAACCAAAAGUUCAAAUCCCUAUAUUUUCACAGCUACUUUGCUACGUAAAAAUUUUGUUUUUUCUACCUCAUCGUUACUUCCAGAAAAAGGACCAGCGAUCCAAGUUUGGUGUUCAAAACACGAGAUUAUGUCACAAGUAGAAAUAUAUUUCCCUUAUAUAGCCGUCUUGAAACCUGAAAAUUUCUUAUUUGGCCUAAGAAUGUCAAGAUUCAUACAGCCGAUCCCAACUUGGUUAGAAUUGAGGUGUCAUCUUGCACACCGAUAAGACUGAGGAAACCACUUCGAGAACAAAUGGUGUUUUAGCUUUAUGACCAAAACGAAAAUGCCAUAGCACGGUAUGUGCAUAAAUGCCACCAGCAAGUACCUGAAAAAUCACCAGCAGAUCGUAUAUUUGCUUAAACAAACUCAUGGACUUACAUUGUAUAGUUUAGGACAUGAUAGGAAGUACAUACCACAAAGGUGAAAAUGCAGAUGAUAGAUCAAGGAAUGGAUAGGGCCACCUGUUCAACAAAAUAACAUCAGUACUAAUAAUUAAUCGAUUAACCAAGAUUGAAGAACGUAACAACAUAGCAAUGUAGCAUUAUCAUUACCAGAUUGAGAUGCAGGCAUGAACAGCCCAUUGGAAAAUAACAUAAAUUCCUGUCCACAUAAAGAAGUAUCCAAUUCGAAACCAAGGAAAUCGCUGAAACAACACAACAAUAGGAAACUGACGAUCAGUUUUAAAGUCUACGAAUACCACAUUUGGUAUCGAUAAAGUUUGCAACUUACCAAGCAAUUCAUAGCAGUAUCACCAAGUAGAAAUACAACAUUGACUGAAUGCAUAUUUAUAAUCCACUGCAAGAUACAGAACAUAACAUUUAGAAACACAACGAACAGUAAUACGCAGAACUUCACUCAACUAGUCCCCAGUGACUAGUGUAGCAUACUUACAAAAUUUAACUUGUAGCCUUUAAUGGUCAAAUAUGGAACAAGUAUGAACCAGAAGACACAAUCCGUAAGCGUUACAGCCCCUGCAUUCAUCUUUAACAACAAGAAAAGAACAAUCUUUAAAGUCAUUACAUUGCAUCUCAAACUUCACAUUGAAGUAGCGAAUCGCGAUAUACCUGGAAGAUUAUUUGGAAAACAUAUUCCCAAAACUCAGCAAUUUGACGAGAAGUUUGUUCUACAUUUUCCCCUAUAUGUUUUGCAGCAACUGAACUUUGUGAACCAUACUCAAUAUCUAACCUCUCAACAUCAGUUCCAUCAAUACCAACUUUAUUGUGACACUUGUAACAUCCAUACAUUGAUAGAACAGAUCCAAUCUACAUAAUUUAACACAUUAUUAACAUAAGCAAAAUAACAUAAGAGAUAAAAAAAAUGUACCUACUGAAAGAUAAAUUUUUUUGCUUUCACUUACCGCGAAAUAAAUAGUAAUCAGAGUAAAUGUCCACCUGUUCCACAGCAAAUAUCAAAUCGAACUACAGUCAGUCAGACUUAUCUAUAACAGUCAACACAUACAAAAGCGUUUAUAGAAAGGUUUGGCUGUACUUACUGUGUGUAAUAGUAAAAGAUUUCACCACCAUCGACAGUAACGUUUAAUAUUAGCAACAACAGAAGAAUCAUGAAGGCAAAUACUCUGAAUGCAAGAAGCCAAGCAGGAUGUAUAGUUUUAAGACAUGGUCUCCAUACUUCAUCUUGAUACAAUAACCCAGGGGACUCUUUUUUAUUUUCAUUACUUCCAUUUUUUCGAAUUCGAGGUCCUUCAUACUUAAUUAUUAGCACUGCUGCAAACACCAUAGAAGCCAAAACCCAAAUGCAGCAUAACAAAAACCUCCAAUUAAGCCAGUAACUAGAAAUUGUUGUAUCAGCAGUCAUUACUGGCUGCCAAGAAUUCUUUGGAGCUCUUGCUAAAAUACUCAUCAUAACAUUGAUUUGAAAAUUAACAUAAGGUGAAAAAAGAAUAUGAAAACAAUGGGUAGAGCUUGUUAUAUGAUUUGUAAAUGUGGUAGGGGAAUAUAUUUAUGUACUGUAAAAGCAGCUAGCAGUGAAAAAGAUAAAGGAAGCUAUAAGGCCAAAGCUGAAAUGUUGUAAGGAGUAUAAAGCAAGUUAGUCAUGGGGGAAUUGUGGACAAUGUAUAUAACAAGAAUAUUUGUAUAGUUAUUGUUGUGGUCAGAAAAUGCAAAACAGGUGGUAAGAAAUUGACCAACAUUGAUGUUUGAAAGUAACCAGAGAUUGCUAACUUUUCAGUAUAUAUUUGCACAGUAAGCUAGAUAUAAUAAUAUUUUUUUACAAAAAAAGAAGGCAAUCUGGUGUAAUGGAGCUCUCAAGCGCAAAGAUCUGAUACACGCAAUCUUAUCUUAUAUUUGUACAAGAGACUAUUUCUACGGCUUGAAUUCGUAACCCGCGGACACAUAAUAUAAGAAAGUUUAACGCAAAUUUUUGGAAUAAAAGAUUGUAAGUUAUUAAUUGUAAGCAAAGAAAGACAAGGUGGGGGGGUGUAAGAGAUGCUUUGCUUCUUUGCUUUUAAGGAUUAAAAAAUUAUAAAUAAGAAAAGGAGAAAAAAAAGAAAAAGACAAGUGAUGAGGAGAAUAAAAAAGUAUGAUGUUCUUUGAGAACAAGUUUGUUUAUUUAUUUAUUUAUUUAUUUAUUUAUUUAUUAUCCCAAUAAGAUCUGCUAAUAUGGCAUGGUCCUAAAAUGUGAAGUCACAAUCUCUAUAUGCCCAUGCAAAUAUAAAAUUGUACCAAUACACAAAUAUACAUUUUUUUGGUUAACUCAAUAAAUAAAUAUCUUAUCUGUCUCAAUUUAUGUGAUGAUAUUUAAUUAGAUACAAAAUUUAAAAAGAAAAAAAAAAUUUAAAAAGGCACUCAAACUUGAUCUCAGUUAGAACGUAAUCACUUUAACUUUUGAGCGUGCACAUCUAGACAUCUCAAUUCAUCUCUACUGUAUCAGUUGAACAGUACUUCAGCGUACAAAAUGAUCAUCUAGAUACCUCCAGAAUCAUUUAUGUGCCAAAUCAGCAUCAGUUGUACCCAUAAGACACGGUUAGGACAAGGUGAAGUGCUUAGUUGUCAAUUGAAACCAAAUUAAUUUACCUAUAAUGUACAAUCUCAAAUUUUAGAGUGUUUUGUAUCAGGUGAGGUGAAAUUUGAAUAUCUAUAUAUGCAUUAUGCCAAAGUAAACUAUUGACAUUUAUGUAUUUAUAAUCAUUUCACUAAUACUUCCUCCAUUUAAAAAAGAUUGAAAUUUUAAGAAAAUAAAAAAGACUUUUGAAUCUUGUGGCCUUAAAUUAAACUUGUGUCAAAUGUACCAAAAUGUCAUUUAAUCUUUUGGUCCUAAAUAUGUCAUAUGGAAAGUUGAAUUAAAGUAUUGCUAAAAAGAAAAAGGGGUCAUUCUAUUUUAAACGGACUAAAAAGGAAAGUAGGUUAUUCUGUUUUAAACGGAGGAAGUAACAAAUGAGAAAUUUAAAUUUAAAUUUUUACUAAAUAUAUUUUUUAAAAACCACCUUUUUUUAAUAAAAAUAGUUUUUAUUAGCUAUGUCUUGGCCAUUUAUUUUUUCAGCAAACAUAGGUGGAAGUAUCACAAACUUUAUCUUAUGAGGUAAGACACGGCACAUAUCACCUUUUUUGUUGCAUAUAUAGUUUAUUGUAGUCCCUUUUUUUAGUCUUUUGAAUUUCAAAUACCCUUCUCCUCUGUGUUUGUGGAUUUUGUGUUGGAUUACUUGUCGAGUUUUCUUGUUUAACAAAAAUAAAAUAAAAAUGUACAGUUGUAGUAUGUAAAGCUUUGUGGGUUACGUUCCCAAAAAAGAGACAAUGCACUUUGCAAAGAUUUAGGAAUUGAAAUGAUACUAAUUGCAAGUCUCCAAGAUAUAUCAUAAGCUCAACAAAGAUUGUAUUGACUCAAGAAAUGUGUUCUAUUUUAUUAGUUUCUUGUUAUGUUAGACGACCAUUAUAUUAUUUGGAAUAUAAGAUAAAGGGUAGUGCAAUAUUUCUACAAAUAUUAGAGGAUUAUCAGGUUUCUACGGAAGGAUGAAUAACUUUAUCGGAUACCUUAAAUAAAUUUCAUAUCGAAAUAAGAUAAUGCAAAUUUACAUUAUCGGCACACUUUUAGCUUUGAUAUAACUUUGUACUCUAACAAACAAAAUAUAAAGUGAACGCGACUUUGCUGGUGUUUGACUAUAGAUUUUAAAUAAGACUUAUCUUUAAAAAUAUGUUUGUCCUUAAUUAAAUUUUGAAGAAAUUAUCUUUAAAGAUUUUCAAGUUUUCAAAAAUGAGUUCAGUGGAUUUCAAACUUCAAAAGAAAAAUUUAAAGUGGAAUAUAUGUUCAAACAUAACUUUAAAUUUAGAAAAUUAAUAAUGCAAAAAUUCAAAAAAUUAAAUUCUUAAACUUUAAAAUCUAUGAUGAAAUGGAAGUUUUAUGCUCCUCAUUACUUUGAUUUGAUCUAAGAAAGUGAAUAAACAUAAGUGUUGGGUGAUUACUAUACAUGUCAGGUUGGAGGGUCACCAUCCUGUAAAGCAAAUACAUAGAGCAUGACAAGGCAAGAUGGUUACAUCGUUACGCGUAUAGAAUAUGCUUUUUCAUCACGAUUUUCUCUUUAAGAACACUCGCUUCGUUGAUUCUUUCCCUUAUUUCUUUUAUCUUAACGAUCUUGACACUAUCUCAGAGAGAGGCCUACUUAUUCACUAUUGGUAUUAGUCUCCCAUCAUUUCAAGUAAGGGGUUCAAUAUUCAAAGAAAAUUAAGUCGAAGGGGGUUCAACACCUACUAUAACCACAUAAAAAAUAAUUUUAAUCAUGUAUAAAUAUUAUAUUUUUCCGUUGAAGGGGGUUCGAACGAACCCUUAAAGAGGGCUGGCUCCGCAUCUGAAUUCAUAAGCUCAACAAAGAUUGUAUAGACUCGUGCUAGAGGGUGGUGGCGUGAGGGUAAAAGAAAGAAAGAAAUUAUUAUUUCUAAGCCAGCAAGUUUUGGAGAAAUAUACAUAGCUGCACAGAACAGUUGAGAUCAAACUCAGAUCGAAAUGAGAGUAAAAAAUAAAAAUUUUACUAGACAUAAUUAACAUAAAUUUACAUCAUGAGCACAAUUUAAGCUUUGACUAUUAAUUAAUUGGUCAAGAAAACAAAAUCGAAAGCAAACAUAAUUUAACUAGCGUUGGACAAUAGAUUUUAAAUCAGAUUUUCUUUUUGAUCUUAAUUAGAUUUUUGAAUUUGUUGAGAUUCUCACUCACAAUUUUCUUGCAAGUAAAUGCAUGUCCAAACGUAAUUUUAAAUUUUAAAAAUUAUAAGUUCAACUAUAAACUAUAAGCGUAGUUAAGAGAAGUGUUGGAUGAUAAGGACCACCGUCCUGUAAAGCAAAUACAUAGAACAUGACUUUUCUUCUUGACCAUAUGGAAUGAAAAAUGCAUGUUAGUCUUUUCUUCUUGUUAAGUUCUGGACCCUCGUUUAUAAAGGGUCCACAUCCCAAUAUAAAUGUAAAACUUAAAUAAAUUUAUUCCUUACUUUCUGUGACUGCUUUUUGCUAUACUAUAAAUCAUUUCUUAUCUUAUAAUUUUCAUAUACAUGAUUAACAUUAGAUUCAUAAUUUUGAACUUAAGAAUGUAACGGUUAAUUACUUCAUUUUUGCUUGGAUACAUAAUUUUUAUGAAUGAGAUCGAUACAUAAUUGUAAUGAUUAAUAAAAAAGUUAGGAAUUUUAUGUAGAUGAGUGAAGAUAAGUUGUGAUGGUAUGUAAUUUUGUUAUGAGCUGAAAAGAUGGUCAAGCUUGGUUCAGAAGCAACAAAAUAUCCCUCUCAUCACUUUUAGUUUCUAUGGUAAAGGUAAAACUGCUAUUAGGAUCAAACUAAUACUAUUAGUUUCUCAUCAUUUGCCUUUAUGAUCUUCACACAGUCAAAAGGAUCGUUAGUUGAUACAAGGGACUUUGAACCUAAAGGUUGUGCAGAGAAUAGUACUUGAAACUAGUUCGUGGCGACUCAUACGGUAUGAGAAAAAUCGAAAAAAAGUGUAGAAGAGGGAACAACUUACAAGUAUCGUAGAGAAAUGAUAAGUGGGAGAAGUGAAAUUACAAUAAUCUCUUCAAGAGUGGAAAGACUCUAUGUGUCCCUUUCCUCUUCACAUGAUGAACAUAAAGAGGCUCCUCCCACUUAAAAGUAUUUGAUGUAUAUAUGCACUAGUUUUCCUGUUAUGAUGAUUGGUCAAAUGUACAUUUUAUAUUUUCCAAAGCUUUUUAAUACACGCUAAUCUACGUCUAUGAGCAGGAACUUGUUUCUUGCAUCACAUGUUUAAAGGAGAGCAUAUAUCUUAGUAUUUUAGAGACACUUUCUUCAACCAAAGUAGUAUCAUUUUCUUUUGCCAGCAAAGUUUGUAAGGACAAAUAAGUUGUGAUGCCAACAAGGCUGGAGACUACAUUCACAAGAAAAUCCCAAGCCCUUACGACGUCUGGAAUUUGAUUUCCCAGACGAAGGUGUCAAACCAGUGAAAUCUGUUUCCAAAUGACUUAUCUUUUGUCAGUAUGAAAAUUUUAUCAUCUUUGUAGGAUUUAUUGCAUUCCCAGGAGGUGCGUAAAAGGAUAGUUUCAAGUAUCUUGAGUCCUUGAUUCAGGGGAAUGGUGAGAUUGACGAGGAUGUCUCCCACCGUGUUGGGACGGGAUAGAUGAAGUGGAAGCUCGCCUCAGGGGUGGUGUUGUGUGAUAAAACGGUGCCGCCCAAGCUUAAAGGCAAAUUCUAUAGGGUGGCAGUCCGUCCGGACAUGUUGUAUGGAGCAGAGUGUUGACCAAUCAAAAACUCUCACAUUCAAAAAUUAAAGGUGGUGGAAAUGCGGAUGUUGCGUUGGAUGUGUGGGCUUACUAGGGGUGAUAGAGUUCGGAAUGAGACCAUUCGGGAAAAAGUUGAAGUGGCUUCGGUGGAGGAUAAGAUGCGGGAAGUUCGAUUGAGAUGGUUCGGCCACGUGAUGAGGAGGGGCACGGACGCCCCUGUUCGUAGGUGUGAAAGGCUUGCGUUGGAGGGCUUCAGGCGGGGUAGGAGUAGGCCGAAGAAAUACUGGAGAGAGAUAAUUAGGCGGGACAUGAAGCAGUUACAGCUCACUGCGGAUAUAACCCUAGAUUGAAAGAUCUGAAAGACGCGAAUUAAGAUAGAAAGCUAGUACCAGUUUGGGGUCAUUGGGGUAGGGCUUUACUUGGUGGGUGCAUUAUUCUUGUUAUGCCACCUUGUUGCAUGCUUUAUUAUGAAUUUGUUUAUUAUUCAUUGUGGGUGGCUUAUUUAUGUCUUCUCAUCUCGUUCCGUGCUUUAUUACGGAUUUGAUUAUUAUCUCGUGUCUUGAGCUGGGAGUCUGUCGUUAACAGCCUUGCUACUUCUUCGGAGGUAGUGGUAUGGACUGCGUACAUCUUACCCUCCCCAAACCCCACUAUGUGGGAAUACACUAGGUUUGUUGUUGUUGUAGGAUUUAUUGCAGUUUUAUAUGCUCCAUCUGUAAAUCAGACUAACCCCUUGCACCAUUUCCUUUGGCAAAAGGAAAUGCUUCAAUAUAAAGCCUACUUGGGAAAGGCAUAUAACCAAAAUAUAACACCAACAUACGAAUUGAUAGCAGUAGAACUUUCUAGCCAUAGCUUAAGCAUCAUCAACAAGACAAUAACGGAACAGCUGAAUCGGAAACUUAAAUAUUCAUUUCAUCCCCUGAUAAGAUUUAUCAUUGACACAGAGCACAUAACUAACCAGGAAUCGAUAACAGAAAACUCCUCAACUACAUUCGAUGUAAAACAAAUAUCUGAAGAGUGUAAUAGAACAGGAGAGAGAGAUUAAAUUCUGCUUCACAAGCAAUCUAGAAAAGAGAGGUUCCUUUUCCUUUCUUGUCACCGCCAAUCUCAAAAUGCUUGCACCUCUGCACAGCACCAAAGACGAUGAAUAUUUAUAAUAAUGAAAAUGCAACUGCAUAGUAGAGUCGUAUGAGUUAACCUACCUUGAUUGGGUGCUGUGACACAUGUUUGCAACCUUGGCAUUGCAAUCUCAAGACAAUCUUCUUCGUGGUCUUUGCCUGGUUUGGAAAGAUAAACGUAAAUCAGUGAUAGAAAACUAGACUUGAAAGUCAAACGUGCAAACAUACCGACUAUGGCGCUUAAUCAGUGAAAAUCUCCUUCUCUUCCUGUAUCUUGUUUUAACAAAUGACUAAUAUUCCAUAUUUCUAUUUCAACUAUCAAAUGUUCAUUAGUUAUUGGAUUGAGACAAAUCCAGAGCCCGUUUGGCAUAGCUGGCUUGAAGUAGCAUUUAAACACCCGAUGCUGAACACCAUUUAAGUAUUGAAGCUAAUUUAUCUAUGAAUAGGCAGUCAGAUGUUAGAAUAUAAGUGCUAAAACUAAAGACAAACAAUUAAGUAUUUGUCAAGAAAGGAACUCGGAACCAAAAUAAGCCAAGAAAUAAAAAAAGUUACCAAAAUAGGCUAAACGUAAUAAAUUAUUACGUUUUCCACUUUUUCUUAACGGCUAACUAACGGAGUUCACUUUUUAUAAAACCUAAGAAUUUCUUACGUUUUACAUAUUUAUUUGUAAAACGUAAUAAUUUCUUACGUUUUAUCAAAAAAAUUUGCAAAACGUAAUAAUUUCUUAUGUUUUAUCAAAAAAUUACGUAAAACGUAAGAAAUUCUUACGUUUUACACGAAAUUCGAAAUAAAGAAAGAAUUGCGUUCGUAGAUAUGAUGGGAUAAGGGUUGGUGGUUAAUCUUAAAUUUUUCUUUAGCGGUGGACUUCAAGGAAAGGUCGAGACAGUGUUUUGUCACAUCAAUAAUAGUCAACUUUUUAUAAAAACUGUACCAAAACGUAAUUAGUCUGACUAUACCUCAAACAUGGAUAUUCAUUUUUAUUUUGUCUGAAAAUAUUAAUUCCUAUAAGCUUGAUUCCGAUGGCACUAUUUUAACUUGAUGCUUGCUUGAUGUACUAAAAGUCAUAGGUUCUAGUUAAGUAGCCACUAUGAGGCUCCCCCAGACAUGGAAGGGUAGUCAUGUGUGAUAGGUUUUUUCUCAUUUUACAUGUUAAAGCAAUUUGUUUUAUCUUGAAAAUUCUGAUGAGACAGCGUAAAGCAGCUGAAUAAUGAUUCCAAAUAAUUUUCAGUUAGUGUCCUCAAACACUGAUUCACUUUCUCUUGCUCUUCAUAGUUUCCAAGAGAUUUACAGAUUUGGGGUUUUGCAGUGCUUUGCUGAAAGUAGAAAAAGCAAUGGCAAGGGGUGGUGGAGGUGGAGGUGGAGGAGCAGCUCCAGCAAAAGGAAGUGAACCAGUACCACAUCCACCAAAAGAUCAGCUUCCUAAUGUUUCUUACUGCAUUAAUGAUCCUCCCCAUAGUUGAGAGUUUGUAAUGUAAUUUGAGGUGUAGUCAGACUAAUUACGUUUUGUCAGUUUUCCAAAAAGUAUACAUCGUACGUAUUUCUUACGAUUUAGUACAAUUUUUAGAAAAAGAAACUAUUACUGAUGUGACAAAACACCGUCUUUCUUUAUUUCGAAUUUCGUGUAAAACGUAAGAAUUUCUUACGUUUUAUAUAUUUUUUUGAUAAAACGUAAGAAAUUAUUACGUUUUACAAAUAAAUAUGUAAACAACAACAACAACAACAAACAACCCAGUGUAUUCCCACAAAGUGGGGACUGGGGAGUGUAAAAUAUACGUAGUCCAUACCGCUACCUCCAAAGAAGUAGAGAGGUUGUUUCCGAUAGACCCCCGACUCAAAAUAAAGAAUAGUAAACAAAGUCGUGAUGAAACAUGAAGCAGGGUGAAUGGCUUUACAGGAGUAAAGAAUAAGAAAUAAUAAAAAUAGAAAUCAGAGCAAUACGGAAUAAGAGAACUAAGAGCCAUAUGCAAUAAGAAAUAAAAAAUAUGAAAUAGGACACCCGCCUAGUAGUAACCUACACACACAGACCAAAGACACCCACCACACCCAAACUCUCCUGACUAGUGGCUCCUAUCUAUGGCCACGAUCCUAGGAUUACUAACCCUGCUAAAUAGGAGCUCUCCUAACUACUUGCUACAACCCACGCACCCCCCUAACCUCCUACCCGUAUCCGCAACCUCCACACCUUCCUAUCUAGGAUCAUAUCCUCAGUAAACUGAAGCUGCUCCAUGUCAUGUCUAAUCACUUCUCUCCAGUAUUUCUUCUGCUUACCUCUACUCCUCUUGAAGCCAUUCAAAGCUAGCCUCUCACACGUACGAACUGGGGCAUCCGUGCUCCUCCUCAUCACAUGCCCAAACCAUCUCAGACUUCCUUCCUUAAUCUUGUCCUCCACCAAAGCCACUCCCACCUUCUCUCGAAUAAUCUCAUUCCUAAAUCUAUCCCCUCUAAUAAGUCCACACAUCCAGCGCAACAUUUGCAUUUCCGCCACCUUCAAUUUUUUAAUAUGGGAGUUCUUGACUGGCCAAUACUCCGCUCCAUACAACGUAGCUGGACGGACCGCCACUCUAUAGAAUUUGCCUUUAAGCUUAAGGGGCACUUUCCUAUCACACAACACUCCUGAGGCGAGCCUCCACUUCAUCCAACCUACUCCAAUACGAUUAGAGACAUCCUCAUCAAUCUCGCCAGUUCCCUAAAUCAUAGACCCAAGAUACUUAAAACUAUCCCUCUUACAAACAUCCUGGGAAUCCAACCUCAUUACCACUUCGUCCUCCUGCCUCAAGUCACUAAACUUGCAUUCCAUAUACUCCGCCUUGGACCUACUCAACCUAAACCCCUUAUAUUCAAGGGUUUGCCUCCAAGCCUCCAAUUUUUCAGUCACCCAAGAUACUUAAAACUAUACCUCUUACAAACAUCCUGGGAAUCCAACCUCAUCACCACUUCGUCCUCCUGCCUCAAGUCACUAAACUUGCAUUCCAUAUACUCCGCCUUGGACCUACUCAACCUGAACCCCUUAUAUUCAAGUGUUUGCCUCUAAACCUCCAAUUUUUCAUUCACCCCCCCUCCCUCCGCAACUCAUCAAUCAGCACUAUAUCAUCCGCAAAUAACAUACACCAAGGCACCUCAUCUUGAAUACUCCGCGUCAACACGUCCAUCACCAACGCAAACAGAAACGGACUAAGAGUCGAACCCUGAUGCAACCCUGUCUCGAUCGAAAAAUGCUCUGAGUCUCCUCCCAUCGUUCUCACUCGAGUCUUCCCUCCAUCGUACAUGUCCUUAAUAGCUCUGAGGUACGUCACCGGGACCCCUCUCACCUCCAAGCAUCUCCAAAGAACCUCCCUAGGGACUUUGUCAUAUGCCUUCUCCAGGUCGAUGAACACCAUGUGCAAAUCCCUCUUCCUUUCCCUAUAUUACUCCACCAAUCUCCUCACCAGGUGGAUUGCCUCUGUCGUCGAGCGAUCAGGCAUUAAACCAAACUGAUUUUUCGAAACGGACACGACCCUCAAUCUCCGCUCAACCACACUCCCCCAAAUCUUCAUAGUAUGACUCAACAACUUAAUACCCCUAUAGUUGUUGCAACUCUGAAUGUCACUCUUGUUUUUAUAUAACGGAAUCAUCGUACUCCAUCUCUAAGCCUCAGACAUUCUUUCAAUCUUGAAAAUAUCGUUAAACAAAUCAGUCAACCACCUUAAACCUGCCCCACCCAUAAACUUCCAAAAAUCCACCGAAAUCUCG